CUAAUAGCCACAGAUCCCAAAGGCCUUCGAAAUGGCGGCCUCUCAUACUUCAUCUUCUUCCACUCAUCAUCAAAUUCUUCAAAGCAAAUACGACGUCUUUUUGAGUUUCAGAGGCGAAGAUACUCGCAACAAUUUCACCGACAACCUCCACACCGCUUUAAUUCGCAACGGAUUCAUCGCAUUUAAGGACGACGAAACACUGGACAGAGGAAACGAGAUUUCAUCAGAGCUCUCGAAGGCAAUUGAAGAAUCCAAUGUUUCGAUUGUAAUCUUAUCGAAAAACUACGCUUCUUCCCCGUGGUGUUUGGAUGAGCUUGCGAAGAUUGUUGAGUGCGGGAACAAGAGGAAGGAUCGUAAAGUUUUCGCCGUCUUUUACGGCGUAGAUCCGGCGGAUGUGCGGAAGCAGAAAGGAGAAGAUUUUGAGAGAGUGUUUGCUAAAUAUGAAGAGGAGUUUAAGGAGAAUCACGAGAAGGUGCUAAAAUGGAGAGCUGCUUUGACAACAGUCGCCAGUCUCGCUGGAUGGCACUUGCAGGACAGGUUCUUUCCUUUAAUUUAUUUGUUAUUGUUUAAUUAUUUAUUCACGCUAAUAAUUUUUUGCUUAUUUAGUGGUGACGUGUCACCAUUGGCCUUUUACAAACACACACACGUCACAUCGCUUGAGAUCUCAUCGUCAAAUUUUUUUCAGAAUUAAUUUUGAACUGCAUUUAUUAUGAGUGCUGCUAUUUAGGCGGAGUCAAACUCCGAAUGGGUUUCUUUUGUUAUACAUUUUAAACUUCUUAUAAAAUUAUAAAAAGUCGAAUAAAUUAAGACUAUUCUUAUUUUAAAUCAAAUUUCUUUUAGUCUCUUGACUACUUGAAUUUAGAUUAUAGUAAUUACGAUAUCUAUAUGUAUUAUAUUACAUUUUUUUAAAAGUAUUCUAGUGUUAUUAUUAGUUCAAAUCUACUAAAUUGAGAAUAGCGGAAUAAAAAUAAUGUUAAUAUUCGACUAUUUAUAAUAUUUUUAAUUAUAACUUCUUCUAAAUUAAUCAUUUAGAAGUAUUUUCUAUAUUAUUUCUUGUAUCGUAUUUUUUCUUUAUGUUACUUCUAUUUUUAUAUUUGUUAUAAUUCUUAAUUUAAUGUUACAAUCAAUAUGACUCUUAUUACGGUUUAGCUUCCUAAAUUAAUAACUUGUUUAAUUUAUUCAAUAAAUGAUAAAAUAGAACAAUCUUAUAAAGUAAAACAAGUAUCAUUAUCUGAGAGCAUGCAAGCAAAUUUUGAUUAAAAAAAUUCUCAUAAGUACUUCUUCUUUACUAGAUACUCUUAGAUUCUUUUAUAAACUUUAAUCAAAUUUGUUAGAUAACAAGUUUUGUCAUAAAUAUUAAUCAAAUUCAUAAAUUCUUUUUGAAAAAAUUACUUCUAAAAGUUCAGAGUAUAAAAUUAAUUUUUUUGAUUAAAACUAAAGUUUUUUCAAAAAAAACUUUCUUUCUCUUUGAGUCAUGGAAAUCUCAAUACCAAGCCUCCCUUCUUCUUUAAAACACCUAUUCUUCGAUUAAAACGGUAUUUAGGAGUAAAAUUGGGCACUCAAAGGUCAUUUUUUAAGGCUUUAGAUUUUUCUAGGAAUCUAAAUUUUACCCUAUAGUCUAAUUUUAUUCUUUAUAGAUAGAAAAUAUUCUUUAAAUACAAAUAAAAGAAAAAAGAUUUACAAUAUAUAAAUUUGUUCAUUUAUAAACACAUAAAAAUUUACAAAAGACUGAUUUUAUUUAUUAAAGAAGAACUAAACAACUUAGUUACAGUACAUUAUGCUAAAUAAAACUAGCUUACUUGUAAUGACUUCCAGAGAAUUGAGCAAGUGUCUCGUAACUUUUACAGAUUGAAUUUUACUACAAGAUAUUUUUUUAUUAAUAUGAUUAUUUUGUCUAAAAGAAAAUUCCUUCUAUUUAUAGAGUUCAUAAAAGCUUUUAUUUUUAUCUCCUUAUUUUCAUGUGGGUGAUCCAAAUUAUAGAGAGUAUGACAUCCACUUAGAAAAGGAGGUUGUCUUUUUCUUCACGUGAAAAUGGUGAGUACCGGCAGAAUUAUCACCACAACUUUUCAGGUACUAAGUGAAGGGUGACUAAUUAGAGAGUGGACUACUACAAAGUCAAGGUUCUAAUAUGUUUUCAAGAUUGUGGUGUCAGCAUCAUCUAAAUCAUUGUAGAAGCCUCUACCAUCAUCUUCUUCUUCGCUUGAUUGAUCUUUCAUGAGAGAUCUAUAAGCUUGAGAUCUUCCUUGUAUAGCUCUCGGUAGAAAUCUACAAGCUGAUCAUUUGUGGUCUUAGAAAUAAAGGGACUUAAGGCAUAUCUUGGCGAGAAUAUAUUUUUUUUAUUAAAGUCUUCAAUAAUCAGUUAGUAUGAUCAGUGAAUUCUCGAAUCUUAAAUUCUCUUGUUAUUAUUUUGCUUCUCCAAUGUCUAAUCUACACGGUUAAAGAAUUACUAGUGCAAAUCCAGUGAAUAGUGGAACCUUUUAAGUUAUCAAGUUCUCUAGUGGUGUUAGAUCCCUUGAGAAAAAUAGAAUGUUGGGCUUCAAACUUAUAAUAUACAUCUUUCUUAAAUCUUCAUUUUAGUGAUUAUGAUUAGAUGUAAGCUACUACGAGCUGUUUUCCUAUUGACAUUAAGUUGAGCAUGGUUGAUGCUAAUUUUCUUCCAAAUACAAUUGUCUGGUUUGGGUCUUGAACAAUAACUUGAUUAAAAAAACCAAAAUCUAACAAAAAUUGUGGAGUAAAUUGUCCCAGAUCAAUGAUAACUCUUGCAAUACUGUAGGUGAGAUGGCACUUACAAUCUACAUAUUUAAGUGGUAGAUAUUGUGAGUAUUGUCAUAAUAAGUUUGCCAUAAGAUGAGAAAUUCAAGUGUUCAGCAGGCAAACUCUGGGCUUUCAUAGCUCCGUUUAGAAUAGUUUUAGAGAACUCUAAAUGAACUUCAUUUUGUCAUUUUACAUUUUGGCAAGAUACUCUUUAAAUAAAUCAGUCAUAAUGGGGUAGUUUUGAAGUUCAAUAUGUGUAAAGAAAAAAUAUAUGCUUUUUCUCAUUUUUAGCUCUCAUGGGUUCAGUGUUUUGCACUUAAUAGUUGCUUUAACCAUUAGGGCUAUAUAGUGAUAUAUUAUUAUUUCUUUCAAGUGCCAUAAGACCACCCACUUCGUAUGUAAAAACACUAGUUAGGUUCCCAAGAAAGAUUGGAGGGGUUAUAAUGGUUCUAUUUAAAACUCAAACUCCUUAGGCGUUGUAUAUAUAGUUUUCGUGACAUAAUCUUUCUAGUGCACUUAAUCUUACUAAUAAGCCUCUGACCCACUUAUCACAAGUUGAUAAUAACAAUAAUAAAAUAAAUUGCAAUAGCAAAUAAAUCGACAAUAUGUAAAAAAAAAAAUUACUAACCCGAGGCCUGUAAAAAUACAGUGUCCUUAAAAUAGAUUCUCUACCUUCACAAUAGUGCUUGAAUUAUAUUGGUGUGCCUCCCAGGAUACAACGAAUUUGAAUAGUGUUGAUAGCAUAAUCUCACUAUUUUUACGAAUUUUAAACAAAUGUUUGAAUUUUAUCAUACUGAAACUUAAAGAUAUAAAAGAAAACCACUUAGAUUCUGGUGUGUCUUGUAAUUGAACAUGAAAGCCAAUAUAUAUAUAUAUGGGUUUCAAGGGGGCAUUAGUUAGUUAAAAUCUCAUGUGCAAUUUUUCCUCAUUUUUUCAUAACAACAUUUUCUCUUUGAGACCCGAUUUCUCAUUCACCUAAGUGCUAAUUUCUGCAUUCUAUAAUUCCUUGUAAAGAGCUCACAAAGGAGAUUCUGAAACAUCUAUGCAUGUAUAUUUCGUCAAUAUUUAUGUUGCUCAAAAUUGGCCUCAAAAUAGCCACUUUAUGCUAUUUUCUUAAUAGGAUAAAGGUUUUUCACCUUUAUCUGCGAGAUGGCUAAUAAAGUCUUAAGCUUAUCCUUUUGAGAAUUUCUUUCUUCAUAAGGAUCUCUACACCUGUCAUCCAAUCUUUUGAAAUUUUUUACCAUUGUUUCACGAAGAUUGUAAAAAGACAAAGUAUUAAUGGAAGUUAAAGCAACUUUUCUACUUUAUGUAUUUUGAACACUUGGCGAUGUGUGCUGAGACAUACUGCUAGCUAUAUGUUUUGCUAAUAUACUUAUGAAAAAAUUCAGGCUAAUUUGUUGUUUUUUAGUAUCGAGGGCUGAUUUGAAAUCAUAAAAUCUUUGAUAAUUUAAAGCUACUAAUUUUCUUUCUUCAAGAACUUAAGGUCAAGUAUGGUAGAUAUCUGGAGUAAAUCAUUUAGGCUGCAUUUACUUUUUGGAUUGGAUUGGGAAUCUUGAGGAGUGUGAAUCCUAGGAUUGGGAGUGUGGAGUGGGAGUGGGAGUAUGUUGUUUACUUAUACUGGAAUGGAAGCAUGGAAUAGAGAUCAGAAUCCAAUUUAUGUGUUUACUUUGUCUUGGAUUGGGAGUAAAUAGUUUCAAAUUACAAUUUUAUCCUUAUUUAAAGAAUUAUAGUUUUUAAUUACAAAACUAAUAAAAAAUAUAUUUAAUGAAUAAUAUUUAUUUUAUUAUAUUUGUAAAUUUAUUAUAAUUAUUAAUAUUCUUAAUUAUGAACAAUAAAUUAUUAAUUUUAAUACAAAAUGAAACCUUAUUUUAUUUUAUUUAAUAUAAUUAUAUUAAAUUUAUUAAAUUAAAUUAAAAAUAAAAGGGUAAAAAAGGGAGAGGUGGGAGUGGAUUCCCACUCCCACUCCCCACUCCAAAAAUGGGUGAGGCCCACGGAGUGGGAUUCCCAAUCCCUUCCCAUUUUGAGAAAGUAAACGCUGGAGUGGGAGGAAUCCACACUCCUCACUCCCACUCCAACAAGUAAACACAGUCUUAAAGACUACAUAAAAACUGAAAUUUUACUCAAAGGUUUACCUUGAAUUUUUGAAAAAUAAAAUGUUAAUGCAUUUAAAGCUAAUAAGAUUUUUCUACUAUCACCGUUUGCAUUCUAGAUGUUGUCUAAAAAGCAUUGUUGUGAUUCAUCUAUCUAGCUGCUAAUUAAAGACUUGAAAGAUAAAUUAGUCUCCUUUUGGAAUGUUGGUUGACUUAUUUGACUUAAUGUCAUCUUCUUGUUGUCUAUCUGUAAAAUCAUAAAGUAUGUUACAAUGAAUUUCUCUACUUAAGUAAUCAAUCAAUCUAUUAUAUACUCUUUUGAUGUGUUCAAAUUAUACUUUGCAACCAUCUCCUACUAUGGUAUUAACAAAAUUUAACCAUCUUUUACCACUUAAUUUCUUUUCAUUAGUCUUAUUAUAAAAUCUUACUAUUGCUUCACAAUCAAUUCUUACCAUGAAAGGCUAAUUGAGAAGUUAUUUAAAAAUAUUUAAAGCAUUAAUAACUCAUAAGAUUUCAUAAUUUAAGCUAGUUAAACUAUUUUUAGAUUCUUUAUAGAGACCUAACGAGUAUCUACAAAUUUUCUUCGUACUCUUACUAUUAUACUUGGUUUGGAGAUUAAUACUACUCCUUCUUCGUGCUUACUAACAUAUGUUUCUAUAACCUUAUACUAAUUUUCUAGUGGUAAAGUUAAUAUUGUUCAUUCUUUAUAAAAUCCUUUUUAUUUUUCUAAUUAAUUCUAUAUCAAAAAACUUUUGACCUCCUGGUUUAGUUUUACUAUUCAAAGUUCCUACUAUUCACUAAGGUCUUUUGUACAUAUUCUAACAUAAUUUAAUAUUUCUAAAAAGGCUUGUAAAUUUUUAAUACUUUUUAUUUGAAAAAUCUAAUAUUCUUUUCACUACAUGUUGUAAUUUUAGUUUUACUUUUCCUAUUUUCAUUUCUAAAAAAUGUACAUAAUCUUUACAAAGUUAUAUUUUCUUCUUACUAAUUAUAAGUUUGUUAUUGACAAACUUAUUAAAGACUAUAAGUAUAUAUGCUAAAACAAAUUUACCAUAUUUUCUAAGUAUUUGAUCUAUCUUACGUUGAAAGAUAAAAGGGAUAUUUUUUAGUCCAAAUGACAUAACAAUCUAUUUGAAAUGUCCCUCAGGACAGCUGAAGGUAGUCGAUAGAAUAGAAUCAUCAUCCAUUUUAGCUUGCCAAAAUCCUAAUCUUGCUGAAUAUAUUUUCAUUUUGGAUACAAUUAAUUAAUUGAUUUUUAUUAAGGAUUUUAUACUAGUCUUCAUAUGUAUUAUCAUUUAAACGUUUAUAAUUUAUGACCAUUCACACUUUUCUUCUAUUAAUUUUUGCAUGGUUUCUAACAAUAAACUCCUAAUUUUAAUAAUUCUAUUAUCUUAAUGUUAAAUUCUUACAUGUCUUGUGAACUAUAGUCUCCUUUAGAUGUUUUAAUAGUGAAAUAUACAUUUUUAUAUCUAAAUGGGCUUUAAAUUUGUUUCUAUUCCAAUAUUUGAUUGGGUCUCCUUCGGACGUGUAAUUUCUGUUAAUCUAAUUAUUUCUUCUAAGUCUUUUUUUUUUUAAUUUUUAAAUUUAGGCUUUUUGGUCUGUACAUCUAUAUUGUUUAGUAUGAAAAUAAGAUCGCAGAAGUUUUCAAAUUCUAAAUCACAGUAACUUGUUUCUUUAUUGAUAUAUGGUUCAUCUAAAUUUUGUAAGAAACUAUCUAUAUUUUCUGCACUUUUCUAUUGUUGGAUUUUCUAUUUCUAGAUCAUGUGGAAAAUUGAAAUAAUUAUUGGUUCCUAUUUCUAAAUCAUGUGAAAGAUCGAAAUCAAAACAACUACUAUUUGGUUCCACCAUGCUCUACAUGCAACUCUAAGUGAAUAUGUUGAUAUUGUGGAAAACGAGAAAGACAAAGUUGCAUCUUGAUUGCUAGUUGUGCUAGCCGAAUAAUAAUAAUUUCCAAAUCUUAAAUUUAUUAAGCCAUCACUAUUGUGAUAAAUUGCAUUGUCUUCUGGUACUAAAAUUAAUUUUUUUUUAAACUUUUGUAACUUCCAAUCUAAUCCUACAUUAAUUCCUGCUAAGAAUUUUUUUACUCAGAUAGCCUUAAUUCUUUUACUUCACAAAAUGUUUAUUAUCUGAUUAUUAUCUAACUUAUAUUUAGUUGUACUAUUUUCACUAAGUCUUCCUAUAAAUCUUGAACAAAUUAAUAAGUUUUCUUCAUUUCUUUUCAUGUGGUAACCUCUAAUUUUUAUUCAUGUUCUUAAAUCCUUAUAAGUAUUAGCUUUUACCAAAUAAUCUUGGGUAAAAUAUACUAUUCCUCCUUUAUUAUUCAUGUCUAGUUCUAUGCUUCUUAAAAUUCUUUGUUCUAUUUGUAAAUCGAUUAUCAUAAAGAAAAACUAGGGCUUUUGCACCUAAAUUUUCUCUAACUUUUACUCUAUUAUAAGUAAUCCUAGAUGAGCUUAUUUAAGGUCUUUAUCACUGAUCUGAUUCUGGGAAUACUUGUCUACUAAAUCUAAUUAAAUCAUUUGAUCUUAUGAGUGCAUGACAUAUAUCUUUCAUUAUAAUUUGAUAUAGCAACGAUUUGCUAAACAUAUUUUUUCUUUUGUAUAAUAUUUGGAUUGAUUAAGUCUAAUUUUUUUUUCUAAAUCUUUUCUAUUUGUUCGUCUAAAUCUAUAAGGUUUUCUAUUUUAACAUCCUCAUCUUCCUUUCUUUUACUAAAUAUUAUUCAAUUACCUUCUAAUUUAUUAGUACUGACUAUUUAGCUACUUUUAUCCAUUAAUAAUAUCUAUAGCUCUUAAAUUACUUAGGUUGAAAGCUAUCUUUAUCAGUAUCAACUUUUAUUUUUUUCAAAUCUACUUAUUAAAUCUUCUAAAGUUGAUUUGACUUCAAAAUUUUUUGCUUUAUCUAAUUGUUUAGUUUUAAUUUAACUUUUUCUAACCUUGAAAUCUUAAUUCUACUAUAAUUUGAUUCUUUAUAAAGUCUAUUUUUUCUUCUAAAUUUUUAAGAAGUACUCGACAUUCUCUUAAGCUAUCUAAAAAUAAUAUAAGAUUCUUAGUAAUCUUAUCAAUUUCUAAUUUUAAAUUUCUACAUAAAUUAAUUAACAAGUUUAUUAAACUAUUCAAUAAUUUUAAAUUUCUACAUAAAUUAAUUAACAAGUUUAUCAAACUAUUCAACUAUGAAUUUUCUAUAUGUAAAUCGUGUCUAAGUUUCCUUUUAUGUUACAAUCUAUAUUAUAUCUAUCUAAAGUUGCCUUCUUACUUUGGUAAGCACUGAGUUCUAAAUCUAAAUAUUUUAUUUUCUUCAUAAACUAUUGGAUCUCCUAAUUAGAAUUAACUAAUUAAACCAUGCUUUGAUACCAGUUAGUUUUGACACUUAUUGACACUUAUCUUAAGUUCUAAUUCAAGGGCGUGUAUGAUUAAGAUUUAAUAAUUAUAACUUUUAUGCAAUUCAGUGUCAUUUAGUGUCAACUGUUUUUUUUUUAUGCUUUUAUCAUUUGCUUUUAUUAUUUUUCAAAAAUUCAAAGUAAACUUUUAAGCAAAAAUUUCAAUUUUUAUGUAGUCAUUUAAGGAUUUACACUAGGUAUGUACCAUACUUGGCUUAAAGUUCUUAAAAAAUUACAAAUUUUUACAAACUAGAUUAUCAAGGACUCUAUGAUUUCAAAUCAGCCAUUGAUGCUGCGAAAAAGCAAACUAGAAGUUUUUUCAUAAGUCCAUUACCCAAAAAAUAUAGCUAGCAGUAUACCCCAGCACACAUCGUCAAGUGCUCAAAAUACACAAGAUAAUGGAGAUGCUUCAUCUUCAAAUAAAAUUUUAUCUUUUUGCAAUCAUUGCGAAACAAUGGUAAAAAUUUUCAAAACAUUGAAUGAUCAGAGAUCUUUAUAAAGAAAGAUAGAAAGAUUCUUGAAAGGAUAAGCUCAACACUUUAUCAGCUCUAUUGGUAGAAAAAAGUGAAAAAAACCUUUAACCCCACUAGUUAAAUUAAAUGUUGAGUGCAAAACACUGAAAUCAUGAGAUCUAGAAAUGAGAGAAAGUAGAUUUUUUUACACAUACUGAACUUUCAAAAUUACCCUAUUAUAGUCGACUUAUCAUUAAAGAGCAUCAUGCUUAAGUGCAAAAUGAAAAAAAUAGAAUUUAUUCAGAGUUUUUUCCGAAACUAUGCAAAAGACAACUAUAAAACCCCAGAGUUCGACUACCAAACACCUGGAUUUCUCAUCCUAUGGGAGAUACAUUAUGACGAUACUCACAAUAUUUUCCUAAGAACUGACCGAUUUUGUCAAGAAAUGCCACUUGGAUAUGCAGAGUUAGCAUUGAUCUAGGACUAUACAAGCCAAUAAAACAGAAAUUCAGAGAUAAAUCCAUUGGCAAGAAAGUCUAAAAUCUAAAACACAAUAUAAGAUUUUGAUUUUUUUAAUUAAUUCAUUGUUCAAAACCCUGACCAAACAAGUCCAUUGGCAAGAAAGUUAACAUCAACCAUGCUUAUCCUAAUGGCAAUACGAAAAUGAUUUGUGGUGGCUUAUGUCCAACAAAAGCAUCAUAAUGGAGAUUUAAGGAAGAUGUAUAUUAUAAGUUGCAAGCCCACUAUUCUAUUUUUCUCAGGGGAUCUAACACCAUUAGAGAACUUAAAAACUUCAAAGGUUCAAAUAUUAUUUGGAUCUACACUACUAAUUUUUUAGACAUUGGAGAAGCAGAAUAAUAGCAAGGGAAUUUGAGAUUCAAAAAUUCACUAAUCAUUCUAAAUUAAUUGCUAAAGACUUUAAUCGAAAGAUAUAUUCUCACCAAGAUAUACUCAAAGUCCUUUUUAAUUUCUAACACCACAAAUGAUUAACUUGUAGGUUUCUAUCGCGACCAAUACAAAGACGAUAUCAAGGCCUACAAAUCUCUUAUGGAAGAUCAAUUAAGUAAGAAGAAUAUGAUGAUAGAGACUUCUACAUCGAUCUAGAUGGUAUUGAGGCUCAUAACCUUGACAACAUGUUAGAACUUUGACUUGGUAGUGGUCCACUCUCCAAUUGGUCAUCCUUCACUCACUACUUUUUAAAGCACAACUAUAAAAACAAAAAGCCAUGGAGAUAAUUUUGCCGAUAGUCACCUUUUUCACAUGAAUAUAAAGACAACAUUUGCUCAAUGGAUGCCAAACUCCCUACGAUUUGGUCGACACACAUGGAAAGCAGGAGAUAAGAAUAAAGGAUUUCAUGAACUCUGUAAAUAGGAGUUGUUUUCUUUUAGGGAGGAUCAUCAUAUCAUUAAAAAAAAUAUCUUGUAGCAAAAUUCAAUCUGUUAAAGUUCUAAGGCACUUGUUUAAUUUUAUAAAAGUCAUUACAAGUAAGUUAGUUUUAUUUAGCGUAAUGUAUUGUAGUUAAGUUACUUAGUUCUUCUCUAAUAAGGAAUUUUAAUCUUUUAUAGACUUUUAUGUGUUUAUAAAUGAACAAGUUUAUGUGUUGCAAAUUUUUUUAUCUUUUAUUUGUGUUUAAAGAAUGUUUUCUAUAUAUAAAGAAUAAAAUUAGACUAUAGAACAAAACUUAGGUUUUCAGAAAAAAAUUGAAGCCUUAAAAAAUGACCUUUGAGUGCUCAAAUUUUACUUCUAAGUACCGUUUUGGUUGAAUGAUAGGCCUUUUACAGAAAAAUGGAGGCUUUGUAUUGGGAUUUACGUACUCCUAAGAGGAAGAAGGUUUUUUUAAAAAACUUUAGUUUUAAUCAAAAAGUUUAUUCUACACUUUAAACUUUUAGGAAACAAUUUUUCAAAUUUUUUUUUUUACGAAUUUGGUUAAUAUUUGUGACAAAACUUAUUAUCUAAGAAAUUUGAUGAAAGUUUAUAAAAAAAUCUUAGAGUAUCUAGUAAAAAAAAAACAACUUCUUAUAAUAAUUUUUUUAAUCAAAAUUUGCUUGCAUGCCUUUAGAUAAUUAUACUUAUUUUACUUUACAAAAUUAUUCUAUUAUAGCAACUAGUGAAUAUAUUAAACAAGUUGAUAAUUUAGAAAGACUAGCCGUCGUAGGAAGUCAUAAAUAUUAUAAUAUUAAACUAAGAGUUAUAGCAAAUAGAAGAAUAGAUGUAGCAUUUAACGAACAAUAUAAUACAAGAAAUAAUAUAAAAAAUAUAAUUCCUGAAUGAUUAAUGUAGAAGAAGUUAUAAUUCGAAAUAUUAUAAAUGGUCAAAUGUUAGCAUUAUUUACAUUAUAUUGUUCUUAACUUAGCAGAUAUGAGUUAAUAAUAAUACUAGAAUACCUUAAUAAUAAACGUAGGAGAAUACAUAGAGGUAUCCUAAUUACUAGAAUCUAAAAUCAAAUAGUCAAUGGAUUAAUAGGAAAAGUUUAAAAUAGUAGUAGUCUUUAAUUUAUUAGACUUCUUACAAUUGGGAAAAAAACCCUUUUCAUCUCUACUUUUUAAAUAAUAGCCUAAAACAUCAUUUCGCUAACUCAUCAUUAGUUUAAUGUCGUUAACUAUUAAUUCAUUGAGUGCAAAAUAUGAUUUUUUUUAAUUAAAGUGGUAAAAAUUAUAUUAAAAUAAAUUUUUUACACAAUUAAAUAAUACUACAAAAUAUGCAAAAUUCAUUAUUAUUUUUUAAAUGAAAUCAACGACGAAAUAGUUUGAUAUAACCACUGAAUAAUCACCAUAAGCAGCAAAUUGUAAUUAGCACAAUAUCUUUAAAUCAUUGAAAGAAAAACUAAAAAAUACAACUAAGUUUUAUGUGCUUGCAUGUGCUGAAAAUUUUCUUAAUCUUCAACCAAUUUUUAUUUUGAGCUUUGCCACCACUCUUCUUUGACCAUUAUUGUCUCCCCAAGUCGGCUCACAGUGCAAUUAGAGAGUAUACUUAUACGAAUAUGAAAAUUAAAAUUAUGAUUAUUUUUUGUACUUAAAUCUAGGGUUUAUAGGGCUUUCAUGCCGCCAAAAUAGAGAAACACUUAAAUCUAGAGUUUAUAGGAUGUUCAUGCCUCCAAAAUAUAGAGAAAUGCAAAAUAAUUGCUUGAAAUAGAAGUUUUCAUCUUUUUCGGUAUUUCUGUUUAGUGGGAUUAAAUAAACAUCAUUUUUAGUUAUAUGUCAAUUUUUAUUUUUUUUUACUUUCUCUUUAAUGGAAAAUCUUUUUUUUACCCUCAAUGAAUAACAAACAAACAGUACUUAACUAACAAUGAGUUAAUAGAAGGAUGUUUUGAGUUAUUGUUUAAAAAAUAAGGAUAAAAUGAGCUAUUGCAUGAAACUUUAGGGAUGAGAAGGGUUUUUUCCCCUUACAAAUUCAUAAGAACUUUAAAAAGAAUAUCAAAGAAACCAUUUAAGAUUUGACUAUGGACUUGACUCGGGGUAAAUAGCAACACUGUAUUCUUAUAGCAUAUUUUGGAAUGUUUAGACUCAAGAUCAUGUUAACUUACAGGGCAAGGUUAAGUUAUAUUAUCAUAUAACAAACAUUAUGUGAAUAAGGGUCGUUGGAUUUAAAUAAUAAAAUUAGAUGGAUGGAAAUAAAAUGAGCAAUUGUACCUAUCUCUUACCGGCUCUAGCAAACCGCACCUUAGAGAUGCUAGUUUAGGAAGGGAAAUCUAAAACCCUUAAAAUAUAUAAAUUGUUUGCGGUUGUUGUCGAAGCAAUGAAUUUCUGACUUUUUCUUUUUCUUUUUUUUUUUUCGUUUUCUCGCGAUCAAUAUUGACUGAUUAUACUCGGUGAAAUAUUUUACGUUGCAUAAAAAGUUAUUUCAGAAUGGGUUAGGACAAUUUAAAUUAAGUUAAAAUAAUUCCACCGGUAGAUAUGUUACAUUCGAAAGCUUAUUGGAAAUCUAGAUAUAACUCAAAAAGAUUAUUAAGAGUAGUUUGGAAAUUCCACCAGCCACCGCUUCUUGCCUUCUUUUUCUUCUUAUUUAUUUAUUUUUCCUUUCCUUUAUCACAUAUUCACAUACUUUUAUUUUGUUAGUGCGAUGGUCAUAGAUCAGGUGAUCGGAUCGGCCAUCAUUUUUUUAAUAAUUUAUUACGAAAAUCCCAGUUUCUUUUUAAUAUUGUCUCUUUUUCUUUUCUUUCUUUUAAGUUUAUUACCAAAUUAAAAUUUGUGAGAAGAGACUUGCAUAAAUUUUUAUAUUUCAAUCUAAGGCACAUUUUAUGCCUCUGACGAUGUAAAUUCAAACUACUAAAAAAUGAUCACUCUCUAUCAGUAAUUACUUUAAUAAGAUGAAAAAUAUUUCUGACGCCUUAGCAAUUGGAGGUAAUGCACUCUCACUUAAUGAGUUUAUGAUGCACAUUCUUGUUAGCAUGUAUGAUGCUUAUGAAUCACUUGUCACAAAUGUAUUAACUAGGCUUGAAAAUGAAAAUAUUACUGUUGAGGAUAUGUUUUCAGUACUCUCAAGUCAUGAAAUAAGACUUAAAGUGAGUAAUGGAAAUGCACAAUUUGAAACAAAAAAAAUUACGGUGACAGCUACUUCAGGGAAAAGGCAAUAAAAUAAAGAGAAGAAAGAAAGUUAACUUUUAUUAGGCCAGUGUUAUAAUAUUAGAUUUUCAUUCUGUCCAUCUGAUUUUAUUAUUUACCCACAUUCGCAUAAUGUUUAGUAUAUGAUAAUGUAAGUUAACCUUGCCUAAUUUACAAUUAUCGUAACAUAUACAUUAUAAUUCUUUGAUUUGAAUAACAACUACUUUGGCAAUAGGUGACUACUUUUGUUUUACGAGCUUGUUAGGAGAAAUGAGAAAAUAUUCGAAUAAAAGAGAAAUUAAUAAUAAAGACAAGAUUAGCCACGUGUCAACUCGUUCGUCAAAUUAAAGAAUUAACAACAACUGUAAGUUAGCAUAACCCUUUCACUCAAUUUAGGCCAUAUAAUAAAUCUACUGUCAAUUCAAGACUUGGGAGAAAAGUUUCAAAUAGGCCUCGAAUCAGAGGGCUCAUGAUGGCAAAUUAUGAGUCUAACCAUAACUGUGUUAUUAGAAAAAGCACAAUUGUAAAAGUAGAGUCGUGACAGAGAGCUACCUCAACCUCACAAAAUAAAAGUUGAACUAAUAACGAAACUGCCUUUUGAAAAUAAUAAUAAUAAUAAUAAUAAUAAUAAUAAUAAUAAUAAUAAUAAUGACAAUAAUACUUCAAAUUUUAGAUGAGUAAUAAGAGAGAGCUCACUCCAAUCCCACCUUAAUUCCACAGGAGAAUAAAUAAAAGUUGAAUUAAUAAUAAAAUUGUUUCGAAUUUUAAAUUAAUAAUAAACUUAACUGAAAAUUUUGUUUUGCUGGGGUUGAAGUGGGUUGAUUGGUAGGCGACAUAAUUUUUCAUAAAAGUAAACUAUUGCAAACUGUUUCAUCAAUUAUGAUCUAUGGCAACAUUUUUGUUUUGUGAGUCUACAGUUGAGCAUCAAUAAAUAUUUUAGGCACCUUACUUUUGGCAAAUUAAAAUUUGCUGUUUUGAUUUACUGUUCCUCACUGUAGGCGUGAGUCAGAAUUGAUCAAAGACAUUGUUAAAGAGAUAUCGAAAAGAUUAAACCCAACGUUAGAUUUUAUUGAGCUGCAUCAACUAACAUCUCAAAUAAAUUUUAGUUGUCCGGAAUAAAUUAUUCAUUAAUAGAAUGUAAUUUAGCAUUAGAUGUAUUGAAUUUUCUUUAGCAUACAUGGCAAAAGAGCAUAAAACAUAUAUAUAAUGGAUUAAUUAUUUACAAUAAUAAAGAAUUAUUACUAAUAAUAAAAAAAAUAAUGGAUAUAUAGUGCAUUAGAUGCACCGUAGUUAUACCCCAAAUUAUUAUAUAAGAUCAUUAUUGUACAUUUGUCGUUUUCUUUUAUUUUAUUCGGGUUAUAUAUUAUUUUGAAUAUUUAUUUAAAUUUUGAAAUAAAUUUUAAGUCAUUAAUUUUAUAUAAUCUAAUGAUAGAUGAAUUAAUAUUAUUAAAAUAAUAUUUUAAUUUUUUAUAUUUAUUAUUAAAUAAUAUAAAAAUCAAUCACUCAAAUUUUAUAUCACAAUUUAAAAUAAAAAAAUUUAAAUUACAAAAACCCUCCCUAUUUUAUUUAGAGUGCUGAUGUUUGCCUCGGGUCAAACCCUGAAAAUGCGUCAAACGACGCCGUUUUGGCUCUGCUUCAAUUUUUUAUUUAUUAUGAUUUGCUUUCAACGAAGUCAUUUUGGUCUGCAAAUGGCAGCCUUCUUCUUCCUCUGUCUUUAACCCAGCUGAACCAUUUCUUCUUCCUUUUCUUCGUUCUCUUAACGGCACUAUUUCUGCUUGAAUUUUUUUAUUGACAAAUUAAACCAUUUGCGGAAGAUGAAAUAUAGAAAUAAUCACGAAGUAAUUGAUAUUGUAAUGAUGGUACAUAGCAACAGCCAACAACCAACAAACUGCAUCAAAAGCUCAGAACACUUGAAACUGACAAUCAGAACUCGCAUUAAAACAAAGAUCUUUAACACUUCGAAGCUACAAAACAUUAGAUUUUGAAACUCAAAUUCAUAAACGCUUUUCAUUAUUUGCCGCCACCACCACCAUUUCCACUGCCGGAACCGGUUCCUACACGUUUGCCCGAACCACCUCCCACACCAAUGCUUAUCCCAAUUCCAAUACCAACUCCUCCAUGGCCACCACGGCUGCCGAGACCUCCACCAGAACCACCGCCUACACCGCCCGCAGCACCAAAGCCACCGCUGUGACCUGACCCACCUCCUACACCGCCCGCAGCACCAAAGCCACCGCCGUGACCUGACCCAACACCAAAGCCACUGCCCCCAGCACCAAAGCCACCGCCAUGACCUGACCCACCUCCUAUCCGACUACCACCACCUCCCCCAGCUCCUCCUCCUCCUCCAAUGCCUCCACCGGCACCAAAUCCCCCACCAUGACCUGACCCUCCACCUAGACCUCCACCACCACCCCCGCCUCCACCUCCUCCUCUAGCUCCACCACCAAGACUACCACCGACACCUCCUCCAGCUCCAAAUUCUAGUAUGGUGAAAUGAAGAGGAAGAGAAAGCAUAUGUGGUCUGCCGUUCUGGGCUUCAGGCAUUGCUUUUGCCUUAAGCGUGAGAAUUUGGCCUUUCGAAACACGGCGUUGUUUUACCGAGAAAAACAAAAACAAAAAUAGUAGAUGAAACGGCGUCGUUUUAGAUCUCUUUCGGGGUUUGACCCGGGGCAAACAUCAUUUUCCUUUUAUUUAUUUAUAUUUUCAUUCACUCACGUAAUCCCUCAUGUUGUGCCACGCCGUCUGCAUCCCGUGUUGAUGAUAUCCUCAAAACGGUCAUCGGACGUCAUUUGGUCUAUCAAAUCAAAUUGUUAAGACAGUCCAAGGCCGCUGUCGAAAACUCGUUGACACCGCUUCAGAUUUUUUACUUUUUAUUUUAUAAUCUUUUUAUUUGCUUAAACGCUUCUCUAAAUUCUAAUAGCCACAGAUCCCAAAGGCCUUCGAAAUGGCGGCCUCUCAUACUUCGUCUUCUUCCACUCAUCAUCAAAUUCUUCAAACCAAAUACGACGUCUUUUUGAGUUUCAGAGGCGAAGAUACCCGCAACAAUUUCACCGACCACCUCCACGUCGCUUUGAUUCGCAACGGAUUCGUCGCAUUUAAGGACGACGAAACACUGGACAGAGGAAACGAGAUUUCAUCAGAGCUCUCGAAAGCAAUUGAAGAAUCCAAUGUUUCGAUUGUAAUCUUAUCGAAAAACUACGCUUCUUCCCCGUGGUGUUUGGAUGAGCUUGCGAAGAUUGUUGAGUGCGGGAACAAGAGGAAUGAUCGUAAAGUUUUCGCCGUCUUUUACGGCGUAGAUCCGACGGAUGUCCGGAAGCAGAAAUGAGAAGAUUUUGAGAGAGUGUUUGCUAAAUAUGAAGAGGAGUUUAAGGAGAAUCACGAGAAGGUACUAAAAUGGAGAGCUGCUUUGACAAGAGUCGCCAGUCUCGCUGGAUGGCACUUGCAGAACAGGUUCUUUCCUUCAAUAUUUUUUUUUUUUUGAUUAACUGGAGCUCUAAAAAGAGCUAGAGAACAACUAAUGGGGUGAGAAACCCUGUAAGAGUCAUGCAAUAAUAGAGCCCUAACGCCCAAAGGAGGGGAAGGGUACACAGUAAGGCCUAGCAAAAUAGAAAAGGCGAGGUUCGUCAUAUAAUCUGCAACAAAAUUUGUUUCUCUAUAGAUAUGAGAGAUGGAAACAUGCCAAUCUAAUUUGAGAUAAUCUUUUAUAGACUGGACUAAGGGAGCAUAUUCAUUGGUCAACACCGAAGGUCUAGCCACCAAUUGAGUAAUGCAUAGGCUAUCCGUUUCAACUUUCAAUCUGCGGAUGCCAGAAUUCCAUGCAAGCUGAAUCCCUUGAUACAAGCCCCAGAGCUCCGCGACAGUAACAAAGCAAGAACCAAUCAUCAUCCCAAAGCCUGUUAGCCAACGUCCUAAAUGAUCCCGAAUCAAACCACCUGCAGUGGAAGUCCCGUGAGACUUGUGAGCACCAUCCGUACUCAGAGUACACCAGGGCCACUCAGGAGGAUGCCAAGAAAUCCACUUGUGAGCCCUAAUAUUCCUAGUAAUCAACGGGUGGGUUAUGAAGCUUGUGAAUCUCCUCGGCUCUUGUAUGAACAUCCACCAACAAAGCCAAAGGGUCCAACAUCAAUUUGCUAAAGAGAAACUGAUUUCGCCAAUACCAGAUCCUCCAUAACGCGACGCAAAAAAAAAAAAAAAAACAGCCCAAUUCGAAACAUUCCCCACCUUACUAUUAUCAGCCACAAGCAGAGCCAUAGAUUAAGCUAAGAAUUAAAGAAGUUAUGUCGUUUACUUAUAUGAAUAAUGUUGAGCCAAAACUGCUUAACCAACCAGCAAUCACGUAGAGCAUGAGUAAUAUCUUCACACACAGCCCCACAACGAUCACAACGAGGCGAGGUGGGUAAGUGCCGCCGAGCCAACUCAGCCUUAGUUUUCAAACCAGCGUGAAACGCCUGCCACAAGAAAAUUUUCACGCUUUGAGGGCCUUUCCAUGUCCAGACUAACUUCCAAUCUCUAUCUUCAGACUUUGGAUUAUACUCAGAGAGAGCCAAAUACGCAGAGCUUGUAGAAAAAGCUCCGUGUUUCGAAUGAGCCCAAAAUAUAGUGUCCAUGCCUUUCACGUGAGAAGGGGGAUGAAGAGCAGCUAUUUGGAGAAUAAUAUGGUUGGGAAGAUAGCGAUCAAACCGGGACCAACACCAAGCCCCAUUUACAUUAACAAAAUCUGCCACCUUACAUUCCAAAAUUCCCACAGGUAUAGUAUUUGUUGCGUAGGCGAUUAAGGGAACAUUAUCAGUAACCCAAAGAUCCCACAAAAAACGAGCAGAUUGUCCAUCACCCAAACUCCAGCGCCUGCUCGCAAGAACCUCGCUCCAAACCUACCCAAGAGACUUCCACAAGUGAGAGCCAUAGCGUGUUGGAAGAACGGGAGGCAAGUUAUGAGGAUCGACUUUGUACUUGGAAAUAAGGACCUGGACCCAUAAACUAUUUGGAGAGGAGAUUAUGUCCCAAGCUAGCUUCAUGUGUAAUGCUCGAUUCAUCAUUGCCAAAGACUUGAAGCCAAGACCGCCAGUAGCUUGCACACAUUCUUCCAACUAACCAUGUUGAGCUUCUGCUGAGGAGACGAACCGCUCCAAAUAAACCUCCUGCAAGCUCUAUCAAUUCUCUCACAAACACCACGAGGAAGGGAAACAGUCUGCAUAACAUAAAUGGGAAUUGCCUGGAGAACUAACUGAACUAGAGUGAUACAACCAACCAAGGACAAGUGAGAGGCAUUCCAACCCGACAACCGCUUCUCCACCUUAUCAAUGAUCUCUUAAUACAUAUUGGUAGAGACCCUUGAAUGAUGAAGAGGGACCCCAAGGUAUUUACCAAGAUCAGAAGUAACUGAGAAGCCAAGUAGACCCGAAAUUGUGGAGACAUCUUUAGCACCCAUGUUCUUUGAAAAAUAAAGAAGAGUUUUACUUGUAUUAACUUUGGCAUUAGAGCAAACACAAAAAUUUGCUAACACUGCUGAAAUAACUCUAGCUUGCUCAACCGUAGCCUCUGCAAGCAAAAGAAGAUCAUCAGCAAAAAAGAGAUGAGAUAAAAGUGUGCCAUGGCGAGAUAACAUGAUCGGACGCCAUUUCCCAGCACUAAUGGCAUUGUGAAUCCCAUGAAUGAGCCGUUCGACACAAAGGACAAAGAGAUAAGGAGAUAAUGGACAGCCCUGACGAAUUCCUUGGGAAGGAGAAAAUUCAUUCGUAGCCUCCCCAUUCCACAAAACCCUCAUAGUAGUCGAAGUGAUGCAUGCCAUAAUUACUUGAAUAAGAUCGGAAGGAAUUCGAGCUUCACGCAGAGUAUCACUGAUGAAUUCCCAACUGAGACGAUCAUAAGACUUUUCUAAAUCAACUUUUAUAGCCAUAAAACCAGUAGAGUCCAUCUUCUUGCGCAUAGAGUGCACAACCUCUUGAGCAAUCACGAUGUUUUUCGUGAUAUGACGACCAGGGACGAAGCUAGUUUAAUGGGGGCCAAUCAGAGAGGGUAAAAUAGAUUGACGGCGAUUAGCCAGCACCUUGGUGAUAGUCUUAUAAGCAACAUUGCAAAGGGAGAUAGGACGGUACAUCUUCAAUGAGGAACGGCUUUCUGUCUUGGGAAUGAGAGCAAUCAGCGUGGAAUUGAGCCCCACAGGAAGAUAUUUAUCGUGGAAUACAUCUUUCACCAAACGACACAGAGGAGAGCCCACAGUGUUCCACUGCGUCUGAUAAAAAACGGCAUGGAGACCAUCAGGUCCCGGGGCUUUCAGAGGGUGCAUGCCGAAGAUGGUUUGUUGAAUCUCAGCAUCCUCCACGCCCUUAUUUAAGGUAUGGAGCAAGUCAUCCUCGAUAAGAGGAAAAUAAUUCGGAUGGGGGUAAUGCCGAAGGUCAGGAGAUUCACAGGAGAACAAAGUUGAGUAGAACUGAAUGACAUGAGCUUUUAUUUCCACUUCUUUAUAAAGCCAAAUCCCUGCAUUAUUUUGGAUGGCAGCUAUAUUAUUUUGUCUCCUUCUAGAAAGAGUUUUAUGAUGAUAGUAAGAUGUAUUACGAUCACCGAGAAGCAGCCAGUCUCUCCGAGAUUUCUAAUGCCAAAUAAUUUCCUCUUGAGUGAGCACCUCUUCCAGAUCCGCUUUUAAUUGUUUUUCAAGAUUUAAUAACCCCUUAGAGUAAUAACUUUCUAAAGCCCGUUGUAUCCCUCCCAGCCGAGCCAAUAAACGUUUUUUCCUCCAAAAUAUAUUCCCAAAACACCGCUUGUUCCAUUCAAUAACCUUAAGACGAAAUUGAUUAGCAGCAUCUAAGUAAUGAAGAUUCCGAUCCCAGGAUUCAGACACGAAAUCUUUGAAUCCUUCAUUGGUAAGCCAAGCCGCUUGAAACCGAAAAGGACGAGAGCUCAAAACUCUUGAAGAAAAAUCAGUACUUCGCACCAGGAUAGGUCUGUGAUCAGAGUUCAAUUUCGGAAGAUGAAGCACAGAAGAAUUGGAAAAGGUACGAGCCCACUCAUUAUUGCAAAUGACGCGAUCAAGGCGUUUAAAUAGGCUUCCAUGAGACCAAGUAAAACGGGGCCCAUGAAAUUGAAGAUCAGGCAUGUUGUGAAGGUGGAACCAAGACUGGAAAAGAGUGCAAGCUCCCAUGCUUGUAGGGGAGCCACAUUUCUUUUUCGAAUCAUACAAAAUAAUGUUGAAGUCCCCACCCAAAAUCCAGGAACCAUAAACCGUUUGAGCUAAAUUAUCUAGCUCACUCCAAAGAUAUUUUCUAAGAUUGGGUUAGGGCUUGCAUAAAUAGCUGUCAACCAAGAGAGAACAUUAUUGUUGUUGGAAAUUCGAAGAUGAACAAACUGAGAAUGGCUAGCAACAAUCUCCACCUGAAAAAGAUCUUUCCAGAUGACCCAAAUGCCACAAGAAAAUCCCUCUGCUUCCACCCAGUAAGAUUUGUCAAAACCACUUCUUUUAAUAAAAUGAUCAGCCUUAUAACCACUAAUACGGGGCUCCAUCAACACAACCAGGGAAGGCUUGUAAUUUUGAACUAAAGCUGAAAAGGAACGACGAAAAGAUGGUGACGCUGCACCUUGAGAAUUCCAAAACAUGGUCUUAAUAAACAUAAGAAAUAUUGGAAAAUGAAACAAGUGGAAUUACUGAGAGGACUCCAAAGCCUCAACCUCAACUUCCAUGCCAGAAUCAACAACAAAUAAGAUAUCAUUGGCAGACAAAGGAGAGCCACUCCUGCUUGCAACUGGGAAGUCUUCAGGCUCAACAAUGGCUUCCAUAAUGUAAAGAUCAUGCGGAAUGCCCUUGUCAGGUGGUUCACCAACAAGAGAGGGGUCACAAACAGGUUGAGAGGGGGGAUGAUUAAUUGCCUUCGGGGAAAAAGUCUUGGGAAAGGAUACGGCACUAUGGUGAAGAGGGUUAAGGGUGAUGGGUACUGGAAAUGGGCCUGGAUUAUUUUGGGUAUACUGUUGAUAAACAUGCAUACCAUGCAUGGAAGUGGAAGCGGCAUUAGAUGGAGCAGAAGAAUCGGACGUGGAAAAUUUAGGGUGAGCAUGCAUGCCAUGCAUGAUUGGGGGUUGGUUAUUUUGGUGGGAAUAAUUGGUGGGAAUUUGAAUAUUGGGGUCAAUAUUCUCAAUUACGGGUUGACUUGAAAGAAUAGUGAUGGAAGCUUUGCGAGGGGGGUAUUUUCGGGUGUGUUGACUAGGGUUUUUCUUUUUCAUACUCCGAGGUUUUGGGGCUAGGAUUUGGAUACUUUCCGAUAUAGGCAUCAUAGGUUCCCGUUGAGAACCGGGGUCUGUAUCAUGAUCUUGAGAGAUCUUAUCCUCAAUAUCCAAGUCUUCCAAAACACCAAACCGAGACUGGCUAGUCUUUGGCAUGUGUCGAUCCUUAUCUGGAUUUUUAGCAUUAUCCUUAACUAAGACUUUACGAGGGCGCGGCUGGCGGGCCACCAUCAUCCACGAUCCAAACUUAGGCUCCCGGCAGUCAGAUGCUUCAGCCACCACAACGGCUUGUCCCUCAGUCUCCGUAGGAGGGGCUGGAUUGUCCUUGGCCAUGUCGUUAAUGUCGGCACUAUCAAAACAUGCAUAUUUGAAGUAGCCAAAUUUACCACAACCGAAACAAAUCAUUGGCAAAUUUUCAUAUUCCACUUUUUGAAUUCUUCCUUCAAGAUUAAACUGUGACACUAGAGGCUUCGGAAGAUCCAAUUCAACUGCAAGACGAGCAAAUUUGCCUCUCUGUGCCAUAAUUGUGUUAUAGUGAAUUUUGAUGACUGGACUAAUAAUGUGCCCUAGCCGCCGAAUAAUACUUUUAUGAUAAAAUUGAAUAUUCAUCUCAGACAGACGGAUCCAAGCCACGAUGCGGUCGAUUUUAUUAUUAACCACAUCAAAGUCUGGAGACCAUUUCUGUACUGAUAAAUAAUGCCCCAUCAACGUCCAUGGUCCCUCAGUAAGGGCAUACUCCACAUCCUUUUUAUUAUUGAAACGGAUCAAGAAAUAAUCAUUACCUAAAUCAAUUAUUUCAAACCCUAUGGUAGAACUCCAGAUCCUGUUCAACCGAGAACUGAGAACACGAUACCCCAAGUUACGUCCUAAUAUUUUGACCACCACUGAGUUUUCCCAAGGUUCCACUAACCGUUCAUGAACUCUGCUUGAGAAUGCUAUGAAUGGCACAGGUUCCUCCUCCCUGAACGUCACAUCAUCCUCCUCCAACUCCCAAUCAUCCUUCCGGCCAAAAUUCCCAACCCGAUUGCUCUUGCAUAUCCAUUAGCAUAUCACGGAAAGACAGAGGAGAUGGGUUAUCCCCAUCCGCCCCUUGAGCCUUAAACUUUGCUUUCUCGGUAGAAUGGUCAGCCGCCGGUGGCAGUUGAGAGGUUUUGUCAGCGCACUUUACCAUAGCCCUAUUCAGUAAAAUCAAUUAAUUAUCUAUCGUCCCAGGUUCUUUCCUUUAAUUUAUUUGUUAUUGUUUAAUUAUUUAUUCAUGGUAAUAAUUUUUGGUUAUUUAGUAGUGACGUGUCACCAAUUGUCUAUUACAAACUCACACACGUCACAUCGCUGGAGAUCUGAUCUGUUUAGAAGCUACAACAUAGUCAAAUUUUUAUCAGAAUUUAUUUUGAAUUGUUACUAUUACGAGUGCUGUUGUUUUUACCCAGAGUCAAACUCUGAAUGGGUUUCUUUGUCUUUUUCUUUUCUAAGAAGAAUUGGUUUCUUCGUUAUACUUUUUAAAUUUCUUAUAGAACUGUGAAAAGUCUAAUAAAUUAAGACUAUUCUUAUUUCAAAUCAAACUUCUUUUAAUCCCUUGACUACUUGAAUUUAGAUUCUAAUAAAUAGGAUAUUUUUAUGUAUUAUCUUAUGUUUAUUUUUAAGGUAUUAUAGUAUUUUUGUUAACCAAGAUUUGUUAAAUUGAGAACAGUGAAAUGUAAAUAACGUUAAUAUUCGACUAUCUAUAGUAUUUUUAAUUAUAACUUCUUUUAAAUUAAUUAUUCAGGAAGGUAUUGUUUACACUAUUUCUUAUAUUGUAUCUUUCAUUAACUCUUAGUUUAAUGUUACAAUCUAUAUAACUUCUUAUUACAAUUAGUCUUCCUAAAUUAUUAACUUGUUUAAUAUAUUGUCUAAAUGCUUCAAUAGAGCAAUAUUGAAAUGAUCUUGGACUAUACAAACCAUUAGAUCAAAAACUCAUAGGUAAAUCACUAAUAUUAACUCCACAAUUAUUGUUGGAUUUUGGUUUUCUUAAUCAAAUCAUUGUUCGAAACCCAGUCUAGAUAGAUGCAUUAGGAAGAAAAUUAGCAUCAAUCAUGCUUAACCUAAUGGUAGUACGAAAAUGAUUUGUGGUGGCUUAUAUCCAAUAAAAGCACCAUAAUGGAGAUUCAAGGAGAUGUAUAUUAUGAGUUUCAAGCCUAACAUUCAUAUUUUUUCUUAAGGGAUCUAACAACAUUAAAGAACUUGAAAACUUAAAAGGUUUGAAUAUUCUUUGGAUCUACACAACUAAUUCUUUAACCAAGUAGAUUAGUCAUUGGAAAACUAGAAUAAUAGAAAGGGAAUUUGAGAUUUGAGAAUUUACUGGUCAUUCUAAAUUGAUUGCUAAAAAUUUUAAUCAAAAGAUAUAUUCUCUUCAAGAUAUACCCGAAAUCCCUUUUAUUUCAAAGACCACAAAUUAUCAAUUUGUAGAUUUUUAUCGAGAGCAAUACAAAGAAGAUAUUGAGGCCCAUAACCUUGACAACAUGUUAUAACCUUGACUCGGUAGUGGUCCACUCACUACCUUUUUAAAGCACAACUUUAAAAAGAAAAGGUCGCGGUGAUAAUUCUGUCGAUACUCACCUUUUUUGUGUGGACGUAAAGACAACAUCUUUUUCUCAAUGGAUGCCAAACUCCCUAGAAUUUGGUCCACACAUGUGGAAAGCAAGAGAUAAGAAUAAAGGCUUUUAGGAACUCUAUAAAUAGGAGUUGUUUUCCUUUAGGGAGGAUUAUAAGAUCAUAUAAAAAAAAAUAUAUUGUGGCAAAAUUCAAUUUGUAGAACUUCCAAGGCACUUAUUCAAUUUCCUAAAAGUCAUUACAAGUAAGUUAGUUUUAUUCAGCAUAAUAUAUUGCAACUAAGUUACUUAGUUCUUCUCUAAUAAAGAAACCCAAUCUUUUGUAGACUUCUAUAUGUUUAUAAAAGAAUAACUUUAUAUGUUGCAAAUCUUUUACCUUUUAUUUGUAUUUAAAGAAUGUUUUCUAUAUGUAAAGAAUAAAAUUAGACUAUAGAACAAAAUUUAGGUUUUUAGAAAAAUCUAAGCCUUCAAAAAGGACCUUUGAGUGCCCAAUUUUGCUCCUAAGUACCGUUUUAGCUCAAGGAUAUGCAUUUGAAAGAAAAAGGGUGGUUUUGUAUUGGGAUUUCCAUGCCCCAAAUAGAGAGAGCGUUUUUUUCAAAAACCUUUUGUUUUAAUCAAAAAGUUUAAUUUUAUACUCUGAACUGUUACAAAAUAGUUUUUCAACUUUUUUCUUUUUACAAAUUUGGUUAAUAUUGUUGACAAAACUUGUUAUCUAAGAAAUUUGACGAAAGUUUAUAAAAGAAUCUGGGAGUAUCUAGUAGAGAAGAACAACUGCUUAUAACAAUUUUUUUAAUCCAAAUUUGCUUGCAUGCCUUUAGAUAAUUAUACUUGUUUUACUUUAUAAAAUUAUUUUAUUGAAGCAUUUUGUGAAUAUAUUAAACAAGUUGAUAAUUUAAGAAGACUAGUCGUAAUAUGAAGUCAUAAAGAUUAUAGUAUUAAACUAAGUGUUAUAACAAAUAGAAGAAUAGAAGUAGCAUUUAAUGAAGGAUGUAAUACAAGAAAUAGUAUAGAAAAUAUCAUUCCUGAAUGAUUAAUUUAGAAGACGUUAUAAUUAAAAAUAUUAUAAAUAGUUGAAUGUUAUCAUUAUUUAUAUUUUUUUGUUCUUGACUUAGCAGAUCUGAGUUAAUAAUAAUACUAGAAUACCUUAAAAAUAAAUCUAGGAGAAUACAUAGAGUUAUCCCGGUACUAGAAUGCAAAAUUAAGUUGUCAUUGGAUUAAUAGGAAAAGUUUAAAAUAGUAUUAGUCUUUAAAUAUUCGACUUUUUACAAUUUCAUAAGAAGUUUAGAAAAUAUAACAAAGGAACCAUUUUUGAGAUUUGACUCUGGACUUAACUCAGGAUAAAUAGCAACACUAUUAUAAUAGCAUAGUCUGGAAUGUUUUGGCUCAAGAUCAUGUUAAUUUACAACUAUUGUUAAAUAUAAAUUAUAAUUCUUUGAUUUGACUAACAAUCACAUACGUGACGACUUUUGUUUUUAUUAAAAAUCUCUUUUAUUUAAACAUUUUCCCAUUUAUCCUAACAAGUAAGUUCCUAUAUAACUAAAUUUAAAAUCAAUCAAGUAUAAACAAAUUUCUUAGGAAAAAUGAGAAAAUAUUUAAAGAAAAGAGAAAUUUUUAAUAAAGACUAGAUUAGCCAUGUGUUAUCAAAAUGUCUAACUCCUUAGUCAAAUCAAAGAAUUACACGUAACAACAGCGGUUAGUUAGGAUAACCCUUAGACUCAAUUUAGGCUAUAUCAUAAAUCUACUGUUAAUUCAAGACUCGGCAGAAAAAUUUCAAAUGGGCCUUGAUUCCCAGGGCUCAUCAUAGCCAAUUGAGUCUAACCAUGGACAAAUUCUACAAUGCAUCAAGAUAAUACAACUAAUUGAUGUAUGAAUGACAUGUAUAAUUGAAUUUAAUGUAAAUAUCACUUGUAAAGUGAUUUUUAAAAAUAAAUAAAUACAUGUCAUAACAUCAUUUGUUUGUUAUAUUGUUGACAUGGUACCUUUGAUGUAUUGUCAAAUUUCUCCUAAUCAUGAAUGUGUCAUUAGAAAAAGCACAAUUGUAAAAGUAGAGUGGUGACAGAGAGCCACCUCAACCUCGCAAAGUAAAGUUGAACUAAUAACAACAAAGAUACUUCAAAUUUUAGAUGUUCAGUAAGAGAGAGCUCACUCCAAUCUUACCUCAAUUUCAGAUGAGAAUAAAUAAAAAUUAAACUAAUAAUAAAAUUAGGGAAAUGAUCAUUUAACUACCAGAGUUAUUAUGACAUAUCAUGUCAGUACCUUGGUUUGCCGAAAAGUACAUUUUACUACCAAACAUUUGUGUUGUUAUCAAUUCGCUACUAUUCCGUUAAGAAAACGUUAAUGUUUAACAGAAAUUGAGUUAAAAGUCGAUUUUACCCCCAAGAGUUUAAAAGACAAUUUACCCUUUGUAAUUUAAGCAUUAAAAAAGAAGAAGUCAACAAUAACGAUCUUAGGGUUUAAUUUUUUAAUUCUUUAAUCUUUAAUUAUUUUCUUAAAAUGCAAUGUUUAGGCUUCAACCUAAAAUGUCUUUAAUGCCCUUACAACUAGAAAUGUCUUUGGUGCCCUUAUGACAUCAGCAAAUUUUUAAUAUUCUUAACAGAAUAGUAGUGAAUUGAUAAUGGUGCAAACGUGUAGUAGUAAAAUGCCCUAUUCGACAAACCAUGGUACUGACAUGAUAUAUUAGAAUAACUUUGAUAAUAAAAUGAUAAUAUCUGAUAAAAUUAUUCCGAAUUCUAAAUUAAUAAUAAGUUUACCUGAAAAUUUUCUUUUGUUGGGGUUGAAGUGGGGUUCAUUGGUCGGAGACAUAAAAUUUUUCAUAAAAGUAAAACUAUUACAAGCUGUUUCAUCAAUUAUGGUCUAUGGCAACAUUUUUGUUUUGUGAGUCUGGAGUUGAGCAUCAAUAAAUAUUUUAGGCACUUUAUUUUUGGAAAAUUAAUGUUUCCUGUUUGGAUUUAUUGUUCUUCACCGUAGGCAUGAAUCAGAAUUGAUCAAAGACAUUGUUAAAGAGAUAUCGAAAAGAUUAAACCCAACGUUCUCAAGUGAUGUUGAUGGCCUUGUUGGAAUAGCGUCACGCAUGGAGAAAAUGAUUGGAUAUUUAGAAGCAGGAUUAGAUGAUGUUCGGUUCAUUGGCAUUUGUGGAAUGGGUGGAAUUGGAAAAACUACGCUAGCUAAAGUUUUAUACAAUACGCUAAAAGAUCAAUUUGAAGCUAGCAGCUUUCUUGCCAACGUUAGAGAAGUCUCUGUAACAAGGGGUCUGGUUCCUUUACAAGAACAGCUUCUUUCUGAGGUCCUAAUGGAAAGAAAUUUAAUCAUAUGGGACGUUCAUAAAGGAAUUAAUUUGAUUAGAUGGCGGCUAUGUCGCAAAAGAGUCCUUGUCAUUCUUGACGAUGUGGAUCAAUUAGAACAAUUACAAUCACUGGUUGGAAAUCAUGAUUGGUUCGGUUUUGGGAGUAGAAUAAUUAUUACAAGUAGAGAUGAACAUGUGCUGAAGAGCCACGGAGUAACAAAUACGUAUAAGGUUCGAGGACUGGAUUAUGUUGAAGCUCUCCAACUCUUUCAUUUGAAAGUUUCCAACGGCAAACAACCCACAGAUUACCGUGUUGAGCUCUCGAAAUAUGUAGUCAAUUAUGCAGGAGGGCUUCCAUUAGCAAUUGAAGUUUUGGGAUCCUUUUUGUGUGGUCGAAGUGUUGAGGAAUGGAAAAGUGCUUUGAAUAGGAUACAAGAAGCUCCUAAUGAAAAAGUUUUGAAAGUUCUCAGAAUAAGUUAUGAUGGACUUGAUAGAAGAGAUAAAGAAAUAUUCUUAGAUAUUGCAUGUUUCUUCAAGGGGAAGGACGAAGAUCGAGUCAGGAAAAAACUAGACAGUUGCGGUUUUAACUCAGAUAUUGGGAUAAGAGAACUCCUAGACAAAUCCUUGAUAACUAUUGUAAAUAACAAACUGUGGAUGCAUGAUUUGCUACAAGAAAUGGGUUGGGAAAUUGUUCGAGAGCACCAUGGUGACAAGCCCGGCAAAUGGAGUAGAUUAUGGCUUUAUAAGGAUGUGUAUCAUGUUUUAUCAAAAAAUAUGGUAAGAUAUUUGUCAGGGAACAUAAUUCCAUACAUUAUUGUCUUACUAAAAGUGAAAACUAUAGUUCAAGAUAACUUCUCUCUGUUUUGAUCAUUGAUUUUUACCUUUUAAUUUUAUUUCUGUUUCCUUUAUUUAUUAGGGAACAGAUGCAGUUGAAGCUAUAAUUGUUGAUGUGGCUGAGAUGACGCAAUUGGAAGCUAAAUCAUUUUCAACCAUGAGCAAUCUGAGGUUACUUGAAAUCAAUAAUGUUUAUCCUUCAGGCAAUCUUGAAUACCUCUCAAAUAAUUUGCGGUAUCUCAAAUGGCAUGAAUACCCGUUUAAUUCUUUGCCUGUGAGUUUCCGGCCAGAGAAACUUUUUAAGUUGAACCUGUGUAGUAGUCGCAUCAAAUAUCUUUGGAAGGGCAUAAAGGUAUCAUUUCUGAAUUGCAUUCAGUAUACACAGCAUAAUUGUCACUGAAGGAAGUUUUUGGUAAUUUACUUAUUGUUUCUUGCAGCCUUUGAAGGAGUUGAAAUCCAUGAAUCUCAGUCACUCUUCUAACCUUAUCAGAACCCCUGACUUUACAGGGGUUCCAAAUCUUGAGCGGCUGAAUCUUGAAGGCUGUACAAGAUUGCUCGAGGUUCACCAAUCUGUUGGAACUCUUAAAAGACUAAUUUUAUUGAAUUUAAAAGACUGCAGAAAUCUUGUCAGCUUUCCAAAAAAUGUCUGUCUUAUGAAGUCUCUAAAGAUACUGUGUCUUUGUGGAUGUUUAAAAUUAGAGAAAUUGCCUCAGGACUUGGGGGAAGUUGAGUGUUUGGAAGAACUAGAUGUAGGUGGCACUGCAAUAAGACAAAUACCACCCUCCAUUGUACAGUUGGUGAAUCUCAAAAUAUUCUCUCUCCAUGGAUGUAAAGGACAACCCCCCAAAAUCUUGAGUUCAAAUUUCUUCCUUUCGUUGUUGUUGCCAAAUAAAAAUUCUGAUUCUAUGUGCUUGUCCUUUCCUCGUUUUACUGGUUUAAGCUCUCUACAAACUUUAGAUCUUAGUGACUGCAAUCUUUUGGAAGGAGCAAUUCCUUCUGAUAUUGGCUCGUUAUUCUCAUUAGAAGCAAUAGAUUUAAGUGGGAACAAUUUUUUCAGCCUACCAUCUAGCAUAAACCAACUUUUAAAGCUUAAAAUUCUUUGCUUGGAGAAAUGCCGGAAUCUUAAAUCGUUGCCAGAGCUUCCACCAGAAAUAGUUUUUGUUGGGGCCGAAGACUGUACUUCUUUGGAAACAAUAUCUGCUUUCGCAAAAUUAAGCCGGUCUCCAAACAUUGCUCUGAAUUUUUUAAAUUGCUUCAAGCUGGUUGAGGAUCAAGUCAGUAAAGACAAUUUGGCAGUUACAUUGAUGAAACAAUGGCUUCUGGUAAGUCUCUAUCAUGAGUCUUUUUUGUUGAUAGUUUGGAAUAUUAUGUUGUUUUUUUUUUUUUUUUUUUAUAUCAUUAUUCAUACUAUCAAAAUAUUAGUAUGUUGUAUUUUGUAGGUCUAGCUUAAUUACUUAAAUUUUCUUUUUGUCUUUUAAAGAAAAAGACUUGUACUCAAAUAUGAGAAAGCAAGCAAACGUCCUUUAUGAUACUUACAGACUUGUGUUUAGACAAAUAUGGGAUAGAAAGACACUUUUUAGCGCUUGUUUUUAGACUUGACCCUUUGACCAAAAUCAUGUUUUUUUUUGGUGCUGCUGUACCGUACAUCCGCCNNNNNNNNNNNNNNNNNNNNNNNNNNNNNNNNNNNNNNNNNNNNNNNNNNNNNNNNNNNNNNNNNNNNNNNNNNNNNNNNNNNNNNNNNNNNNNNNNNNNNNNNNNNNNNNNNNNNNNNNNNNNNNNNNNNNNNNNNNNNNNNNNNNNNNNNNNNNNNNNNNNNNNNNNNNNNNNNNNNNNNNNNNNNNNNNNNNNNNNNNNNNNNNNUCAGAAUUGAUCAAAGACAUUGUUAAAGAGAUAUCGAAAAGAUUAAACCCAACGUUUCCAAGUGCUGUUGAUGGCCUUGUUGGAAUAGCGUCUCGCAUGGAGAAAAUGAAUGGAUAUUUAGAAGCAGGAUUAGAUGAUGUUCGGUUCAUUGGCAUUUGUGGAAUGGGUGGAAUUGGAAAAACUACGCUUGCUAAAGUUUUAUACAAUACGCUCAAAGAUCAAUUUGAAGCUAGCAGCUUUCUUGCCAACGUUAGAGAAGUCUCUGUAACAAGAGGUCUGGUUCCUUUACAAGAACAGCUUCUUUCUGAGGUCCUAAUGGAAAGAAAUUUAAUCAUAUGGGACGUUCAUAAAGGAAUUAAUUUGAUUAGAUGGCGGCUAUGUCGCAAAAGAGUCCUUGUCAUUCUUGACGAUGUGGAUCAAUUAGAACAAUUACAAUCACUGGUUGGAAAUCAUGAUUGGUUCGGUUUUGGGAGUAGAAUAAUUAUUACAAGUAGAGAUGAACAUGUGCUGAAGAGCCACGGAGUAACAAAUACGUAUAAGGUUCGAGGACUGGAUUAUGUUGAAGCUCUCCAACUCUUUCAUUUGAAAGUUUCCAACGGCAAACAACCCACAGAUGACCGUGUUGAGCUCUCGAAAUGUGUAGUCAAUUAUGCAGGAGGGCUUCCAUUAGCAAUUGAAGUUUUGGGAUCCUUUUUGUGUGGUCGAAGUGUUGAGGAAUGGAAAAGUGCUUUGAAUAGGAUACAAGAAGCUCCUAAUGAAAAAGUUUUGAAAGUUCUCAGAAUAAGUUAUGAUGGACUUGAUAGAAGAGAUAAAGAAAUAUUCUUAGAUAUUGCAUGUUUCUUCAAGGGGAAGGACGAAGAUCGAGUCAGGAAAAAACUAGACAGUUGCGUUUUUAACUCAGUUAUUGGGAUAAGAGAACUCCUAGACAAAUCCUUGAUAACUAUUGUAAAUAACAAACUGUGGAUGCAUGAUUUGCUACAGGAAAUGGGUUGGGAAAUUGUUCGAGAGCACCAUGGUGACAAGCCCGGCAAAUGGAGUAGAUUAUGGCUUUAUAAGGAUGUGUAUCAUGUUUUAUCAAAAAAUAUGGUAAGAUAUUUGUCAGGGAACAUAAUUCCAUACAUUAUUGUCUUACUAAAAGUGAAAACUAUAGUUCAAGAUAACUUCUCUCUGUUUUGAUCAUUGAUUUUUACCUUUUAAUUUUAUUUCUGUUUCCUUUAUUUAUUAGGGAACAGAUGCAGUUGAAGCUAUAAUUGUUGAUGUGGCUGAGAUGACGCAAUUGGAAGCUAAAUCAUUUUCAACCAUGAGCAAUCUGAGGUUACUUGAAAUCAAUAAUCUUUAUUCUUCGGGCAAUCUUGAAUACCUCUCAAAUAAUUUGCGGUAUCUCAAAUGGCAUGGAUACCCGUUUAAUUCUUUGCCCGUGAGUUUCUGGCCAGAGAAACUUUUUAAGUUGAACCUGUGUAAUAGUCGCAUCAAAUAUCUUUGGAAGGGCAUAAAGGUAUCAUUUCUGUAUUGCAUUCAAUAUACACAAAAUAAUAGUCACUGAAGGAAGUUCUUGGUAAUUUAUUUAUUGUUUCUUGCAGCCUCUUAAGGAGUUGAAAUUCAUGAAUCUCAGUCACUCUUGUAACCUUAUCAGAACCCCUGACUUUACAGGGGUUCCAAAUCUUGAGCGGCUGAAUCUUGAAGGCUGUACAAGAUUGCUCGAGGUUCACCAAUCUGUUGGAACUCUUAAAAGACUAAUUUUAUUGAAUUUAAAAGACUGCAGAAAUCUUGUCAGCUUUCCAAAAAAUGUCUGUCUUAUGAAGUCUCUAAAGAUACUGUGUCUUUGUGGAUGUUUAAAAUUAGAGAAAUUGCCUCAGGACUUGGGGGAAGUUGAGUGUUUGGAAGAACUAGAUGUAGGUGGCACUGCAAUAAGACAAAUACCACCCUCCAUUGUACAGUUGGUGAAUCUCAAAAUAUUCUCUCUCCAUGGAUGUAAAGGACAACCCCCCAAAAUCUUGAGUUCAGAUUUCUUCCGUUCGUUGUUGUUGCCAAAUAAAAAUUCUGAUUCCAUGUGCUUGUCCUUUCCUCGUUUCACUGGUUUAAGCUCUCUACAAACUUUAGACCUUAGUGACUGCAAUCUUUUGGAAGGAGCAAUUCCUUUUGAUAUUGGCUCCUUAUUCUCAUUAGAAGCAAUAGAUUUAAGUGGGAACAAUUUUGUCAGCCUACCAUCUAGCUUAAACCAACUUUUAAAGCUUAAAAUUUUUUGCUUGGACUGCUGUACGGCCAAGGCGGAUGUACGGUACAGCAGUCUUAAUACAUAUUGGUAGAGACCCUUGAAUGAUGAAGAGGGACCCCAAGGUAUUUACCAAGAUCAGAAGUAACUGAGAAGCCAAGUAGACCCGAAAUUGUGGAGACAUCUUUAGCACCCAUGUUCUUUGAAAAAUAAAGAAGAGUUUUACUUGUAUUAACUUUGGCAUUAGAGCAAACACAAAAAUUUGCUAACACUGCUGAAAUAACUCUAGCUUGCUCAACCGUAGCCUCUGCAAGCAAAAGAAGAUCAUCAGCAAAAAAGAGAUGAGAUAAAAGUGUGCCAUGGCGAGAUAACAUGAUCGGACGCCAUUUCCCAGCACUAAUGGCAUUGUGAAUCCCAUGAAUGAGCCGUUCGACACAAAGGACAAAGAGAUAAGGAGAUAAUGGACAGCCCUGACGAAUUCCUUGGGAAGGAGAAAAUUCAUUCGUAGCCUCCCCAUUCCACAAAACCCUCAUAGUAGUCGAAGUGAUGCAUGCCAUAAUUACUUGAAUAAGAUCGGAAGGAAUUCGAGCUUCACGCAGAGUAUCACUGAUGAAUUCCCAACUGAGACGAUCAUAAGACUUUUCUAAAUCAACUUUUAUAGCCAUAAAACCAGUAGAGUCCAUCUUCUUGCGCAUAGAGUGCACAACCUCUUGAGCAAUCACGAUGUUUUUCGUGAUAUGACGACCAGGGACGAAGCUAGUUUAAUGGGGGCCAAUCAGAGAGGGUAAAAUAGAUUGAAGGCAAUUAGCUAGCACCUUGGUGUUAGUCUUAUAAGCAACAUUACAAAGGGAGAUAGGACGGUACAUCUUCAACGAGGAGGGGCUUUCUGUCUUGGGAAUGAGAGCAAUUAGCGUGGAAUUGAGCCCCACAGGAAGAUAUUUAUCGUGGAAUACAUCUUUCACCAAACGACACAGAGGAGAGCCCACAGUGUUCCACUGCGUCUGAUAAAAAACGGCAUGGAGACCAUCAGGUCCCGGGGCUUUCAGAGGGUGCAUGCCGAAGAUGGUUUGUUGAAUCUCAGCAUCCUCCACGCCCUUAUUUAAGGUAUAGAGCAAGUCAUCCUCGAUAAGAGGAAAACAAUUCGGAUGGGGUAGUGUCGAAGGUCAGGAGAUUCACAGGAGAACAAAGUUGAGUAGAACUGAAUGACAUGAGCUUUUAUUUCCACUUCUUUAUAAAGCCAAAUCCCUGCAUUAUUUUGGAUGGCAGCUAUAUUAUUUUGUCUCCUUCUAGAAAGAGUUUUAUGAUGAUAGUAAGAUGUAUUACGAUCACCGAGAAGUAGCUAGUCUCUCCGAGAUUUCUGAUGCCAAAUAAUUUCCUCUUGAGUGAGCACUUCUUCCAGAUCCGCUUUUAAUUGUUUCUCAAGAUUUAAUAACCCCUUAGAGUAAUAACUUUCUAAAGCCUGCUGUGUCCCUCCCAGCCGAACCAAUAAACGUUUUUUCUGCAAAAAAAUAUUCCCAAAACACCGCUUGUUCCAUUCAGUAACCUUAAGACGAAAUUGAUUAGCAGCAUCUAAGUAAUGAAGAUUCCGAUCCCAGGAUUCAGACACGAAAUCUUUGAAUCCUUCAUUGGUAAGCCAAGCCGCUUGAAACCGAAAAGGACGAGAGCUCAAAACUCUUGAAGAAAAAUCAGUACUUCGCACCAGGAUAGGUCUGUGAUCAGAGUUCAAUUUCGGAAGAUGAAGCACAGAAGAAUUGGAAAAGGUACGAGCCCACUCAUUAUUGCAAAUGACGCGAUCAAGGCGUUUAAAUAGGCUUCCAUGAGACCAAGUAAAACGGGGCCCAUGAAAUUGAAGAUCAGGCAUGUUGUGAAGGUGGAACCAAGACUGGAAAAGAGUGCAAGCUCCCAUGCUUGUAGGGGAGCCACAUUUCUUUUUCGAAUCAUACAAAAUAAUGUUGAAGUCCCCACCCAAAAUCCAGGAACCAUAAACCGUUUGAGCUAAAUUAUCUAGCUCACUCCAAAGAUAUUUUCUAAGAUUGGGUUAGGGCUUGCAUAAAUAGCUGUCAACCAAGAGAGAACAUUAUUGUUGUUGGAAAUUCGAAGAUGAACAAACUGAGAAUGGCUAGCAACAAUCUCCACCUGAAAAAGAUCUUUCCAGAUGACCCAAAUGCCACAAGAAAAUCCCUCUGCUUCCACCCAGUAAGAUUUGUCAAAACCACUUCUUUUAAUAAAAUGAUCAGCCUUAUAACCACUAAUACGGGGCUCCAUCAACACAACCAGGGAAGGCUUGUAAUUUUGAACUAAAGCUGAAAAGGAACGACGAAAAGAUGGUGACGCUGCACCUUGAGAAUUCCAAAACAUGGUCUUAAUAAACAUAAGAAAUAUUGGAAAAUGAAACAAGUGGAAUUACUGAGAGGACUCCAAAGCCUCAACCUCAACUUCCAUGCCAGAAUCAACAACAAAUAAGAUAUCAUUGGCAGACAAAGGAGAGCCACUCCUGCUUGCAACUGGGAAGUCUUCAGGCUCAACAAUGGCUUCCAUAAUGUAAAGAUCAUGCGGAAUGCCCUUGUCAGGUGGUUCACCAACAAGAGAGGGGUCACAAACAGGUUGAGAGGGGGGAUGAUUAAUUGCCUUCGGGGAAAAAGUCUUGGGAAAGGAUACGGCACUAUGGUGAAGAGGGUUAAGGGUGAUGGGUACUGGAAAUGGGCCUGGAUUAUUUUGGGUAUACUGUUGAUAAGCAUGCAUACCAUGCAUGGAAGUGGAAGCGGCAUUAGAUGGAGCAGAAGAAUCGGACGUGGAAAAUUUAGGGUGAGCAUGCAUGCCAUGCAUGAUUGGGGGUUGGUUAUUUUGGUGGGAAUAAUUGGUGGGAAUUUGAAUAUUGGGGUCAAUAUUCUCAAUUACGGGUUGACUUGAAAGAAUAGUGAUGGAAGCUUUGCGAGGGGGGUAUUUUCGGGUGUGUUGACUAGGGUUUUUCUUUUUCAUACUCCGAGGUUUUGGGGCUAGGAUUUGGAUACUUUCCGAUAUAGGCAUCAUAGGUUCCCGUUGAGAACCGGGGUCUGUAUCAUGAUCUUGAGAGAUCUUAUCCUCAAUAUCCAAGUCUUCCAAAACACCAAACCGAGACUGGCUAGUCUUUGGCAUGUGUCGAUCCUUAUCUGGAUUUUUAGCAUUAUCCUUAACUAAGACUUUACGAGGGCGCGGCUGGCGGGCCACCAUCAUCCACGAUCCAAACUUAGGCUCCCGGCAGUCAGAUGCUUCAGCCACCACAACGGCUUGUCCCUCAGUCUCCGUAGGAGGGGCUGGAUUGUCCUUGGCCAUGUCGUUAAUGUCGGCACUAUCAAAACAUGCAUAUUUGAAGUAGCCAAAUUUACCACAACCGAAACAAAUCAUUGGCAAAUUUUCAUAUUCCACUUUUUGAAUUCUUCCUUCAAGAUUAAACUGUGACACUAGAGGCUUCGGAAGAUCCAAUUCAACUGCAAGACGAGCAAAUUUGCCUCUCUGUGCCAUAAUUGUGUUAUAGUGAAUUUUGAUGACUGGACUAAUAAUGUGCCCUAGCCGCCGAAUAAUACUUUUAUGAUAAAAUUGAAUAUUCAUCUCAGACAGACGGAUCCAAGCCACGAUGCGGUCGAUUUUAUUAUUAACCACAUCAAAGUCUGGAGACCAUUUCUGUACUGAUAAAUAAUGCCCCAUCAACGUCCAUGGUCCCUCAGUAAGGGCAUACUCCACAUCCUUUUUAUUAUUGAAACGGAUCAAGAAAUAAUCAUUACCUAAAUCAAUUAUUUCAAACCCUAUGGUAGAACUCCAGAUCCUGUUCAACCGAGAACUGAGAACACGAUACCCCAAGUUACGUCCUAAUAUUUUGACCACCACUGAGUUUUCCCAAGGUUCCACUAACCGUUCAUGAACUCUGCUUGAGAAUGCUAUGAAUGGCACAGGUUCCUCCUCCCUGAACGUCACAUCAUCCUCCUCCAACUCCCAAUCAUCCUUCCGGCCAAAAUUCCCAACCCGAUUGCUCUUGCAUAUCCAUUAGCAUAUCACGGAAAGACAGAGGAGAUGGGUUAUCCCCAUCCGCCCCUUGAGCCUUAAACUUUGCUUUCUCGGUAGAAUGGUCAGCCGCCGGUGGCAGUUGAGAGGUUUUGUCAGCGCACUUUACCAUAGCCCUAUUCAGUAAAAUCAAUUAAUUAUCUAUCGUCCCAGGUUCUUUCCUUUAAUUUAUUUGUUAUUGUUUAAUUAUUUAUUCAUGGUAAUAAUUUUUGGUUAUUUAGUAGUGACGUGUCACCAAUUGUCUAUUACAAACUCACACACGUCACAUCGCUGGAGAUCUGAUCUGUUUAGAAGCUACAACAUAGUCAAAUUUUUAUCAGAAUUUAUUUUGAAUUGUUACUAUUACGAGUGCUGUUGUUUUUACCCAGAGUCAAACUCUGAAUGGGUUUCUUUGUCUUUUUCUUUUCUAAGAAGAAUUGGUUUCUUCGUUAUACUUUUUAAAUUUCUUAUAGAACUGUGAAAAGUCUAAUAAAUUAAGACUAUUCUUAUUUCAAAUCAAACUUCUUUUAAUCCCUUGACUACUUGAAUUUAGAUUCUAAUAAAUAGGAUAUUUUUAUGUAUUAUCUUAUGUUUAUUUUUAAGGUAUUAUAGUAUUAUUGUUAACUCAGAUCUAUUAAAUUGAGAAUAGCGAAAUGUAAAUAAUGUUAAUAUUUGACUAUCUAUGGUAUUUCUUAUUAUAACUUCUUCUAAAUUAAUCAUUCAGGAAUAUAUUGUCUACACUAUUUUUUAUAUUGUAUCUUUCAUUAAAUGCUACUUCUAUUCUUAUAUUUGUUAUAACUCUUAAUUUAAUGUUACAAUCUAUAUAACUUCUUAUUACGAUUAGUCUUCCUAAAUUAUUAACUUGUUUAAUAUAUUCUUUAAAUGCUUCAAUAGAACAAUAUUGAAUUGAUCUAGGACUAUACAAACCAAUAGAACGAAAACUCAGAGAAAAAUCACUAAUAUUAACUCCGCAAUUAUUGUUGGAUUUUGGUUUUCUUAAUCAAGUCAUUGUUUGAAACCCAGUCUAGAUAGAUGCAUUAGGAAGAAAGUUAGCAUCAACCAUGCUUAACCUAAUGGUAGUACGAAAAUGAUUUGUGGUGGCUUAUAUCCAAUAAAAGGCACCAGAAUGGAGAUUCAAGGAGAUGUAUAUUAUGAGUUUCAAUCCCAACAUUCAUAUUUUUUCUUAAGGGAUCUAACAACAUUAAAGAACUUGAAAACUUAAAAGGUUUGAAUAUUCUUUGGAUCUACACAACUAAUUCUUUAACCAAGUAGAUUAGUCAUUGGAAAACUAGAAUAAUAGAAAGGGAAUUUGAGAUUUGAGAAUUUACUGGUCAUUCUAAAUUGAUUGCUAAAGAUUUUAAUCAAAAGAUAUACUCUCGCCAAGAUGUACCCGAAAUCCUUUUUCUUUCAAAGACCACAAAUUAUCAACUUGUAGAUUUCUAUCGAGAGCAAUACAAAGAAGAUAUCAAGGCCUACAAAUCUCUUAUAAAAGAUAAAUCAAGUGAAGAAGAAGAUGAAGGUAGAAACUUCUACAACGAUUUAGAUGGUAUUGAGGCCCAUAACCUUGACAACAUGUUAGAACCUUGACUCGGUAGUGGUCCACUCUCCAAUUAAUCACCAUCACUCACGACCUUUUUAAAGUACAACUUUAAAAAGAAAAGGUCGCGGUGAUAAUUCUGUCGAUACUCACUUUUUUGCGUGGACUUAAAGACAACAUCUUUUUCUCAAUGGAUGACAGACUCCCUAAAAUUUGGUCCAUUCACGUGGAAAGCAAGAGAUAAGAAUAAAGGCUUUUAGGAACUCUAUAAAUAGGAGUUGUUUUCCUUUAGGGAGGAUUAUAAGAUAAAAAAAAAAAAUCUUGUAGCAAAAUUUAAUUUGUAGAAGUUCCAAGGCACUUGUUCAAUUUCCUAAAAGUCAUUAGACGUAAGUUAGUUUUAUUCAGCAUAAUGUAUUGCAACUAAGUUACUUAGUUCUUCUCUAAUAAAGAAACUCAAUCUUUUGUAAACUUCUAUAUGUUUAUAAAAGAACAAGUUUAUAUGUUGCAAAUCUUUUACCUUUUAUCUGUAUUUAAAGAAUGUUUUCUAUGUGUAAAGAAUAAGAUUAGACUAUAGAACAAAAUUUAGGUUUUCAGAAAAAUCUAAAGCCUUAAAAAAUGGCCUUUGAGUGUACAAUUUUGCUCCUAAGCACCAUUUUAGCCGAAGGAUAGGCAUUUGAAAGAAAAAGGGAGGUUUUGUAUUGGGAUUUCCAUGCCCCAAAUAGGGAGAAGGUUGUUUCAAAAACUUUUGUUUUAAUAAAAAAGUUUAAUUUUAUACUCUGAACUGUUACAAAAUAGUUUUUCAACUUUUUUUUCUUUUUAAGAAUGUGGUAAAUAUUGUUGACAAAACCUGUUAUUUAAGAAAUUUAUCGAAAGUUUAUAAAAGAAUCUGGGAGUAUCUAGUAGAGAAGAACAACUGCUUAUAACAAUUUUUUUAAUUAAAAUUUGCUUGCAUGCCUUUAGAUAAUUAUACUUGUUUUACUUUAUAAAAUUGUUCUAUUAAAGCAUUUUGUGAAUAUAUUAAACAAGUUGAUAAUUUAAGAAGACUAGCCGUAAUAGGAAGUCAUAAAGAUUGUAGUAUUAAACUAAGAGUUGUAGCAAAUAGAAGAAUGUAAGUAACAUUUAACGAAGGAUAAAAUACAAGAAAUAGUAUAGAAAAUAUAUUCCUGAAUGAUUAAUUUAGAAGAAGCUAUAAUUAGAAAUAUUAUAAAUAGUUUAAUGUUAUCAUUAUUUACAUUUUGUUGUUCUUGACUUAGCAGAUAUGAGUUAAUAAUAAUACUAGAAUACCUUAAAAAUAAAUAUAGGAGUCUUUUACAUCCAUAUUAUUGUUAACAAAAAAAUUGGCUACUCGUACUGUGAGUCUGUAACUGAUGACUGAUUAUACUAACCAAUUAACAAACCCCACCCAAUUGGUCAGAGAACAGGUGGAGGAUUUUGAUUUCAUUUAUUACAUUAUUUGUAACAUCAGGACUAUUAGUCUUAAAGACAAAAACACAGAUACGGUUGAAAUUCUUCCAACUAAACAUAAGAAACUAAACAAUUGAUAGAAUAUUUUGUUAAUAAAUCCGCUGCUUUAUUACAAACUCCUUAGAUAUGUCUAACUUGAAAGAACGCUUUAGAGAGAGUAAAUGCUUCACUUAAGAAAUAAGUUAGAAUAACUCAGACACUCAGUACAAGUACUGCGUCAAUCCAAAAUUAAUUGAACCAUACAAAAUGAAUCUAACUCAACUAUUAGUGGAGAUAAACCCACCGCUCUAGUAAGCCGCAUUUCAAAGCAUAAGGCUUCCUCAUCAAAACCAACAUCAUCAGAGAAAACAUUGCUCAAGGGGUUUUCUCUAAUUAAAAUUAUUUAAUCUAGGAGAAAUUUAAUAUAAUCACUACUUAUAUGAUAAUUUUUUAAAAACAAAAAUAUGUAAUUUAUAAUAUUUUUUAUUUAUUAUAUGACUGACAUGGUAACUCUCUGAUGUAUUUUAAAAUUUCUCUUAAUAUAAUCUAUCAAAUUAUUAAUUUUAUUGAACUGCAUCAACUAACAUCUCAAAUAAAUUUUAGUUGUCCAGAAUAAAUUAUUCAUUAAAGGAAUGUAAUUUAACAUUAGAUGUAUUGAAUUUUCUUUAGCAUACAUGGCAAAAGAACAUAAAACACAUAUAUAAUGGAUUAAUUAUUUACAAUAAUAAAGAAUUAAUAAUAAUAAUAAUAAAAUAACGGAUAUAUAGUGUAUUAGAUGCACCGUAGUUAUACUUCAAAUUGUUAUACAAAAUCGUUAUUGUGCAUUCGUCGUUUUCUUUUAUUUUACUCGGGUUAUAUAUUAUUUUGAAUAUUUAUUUAAAUUUUGAUAUAAAUUUUAAGUCAUUAAUUUUAUAUAAUCUAAUGAUAGAUGAAUUAAUAUUAUUAUAUAUUAUUUUGAUUUUUUAUAUUUAUUAUUAAAUAAUAUAAAAUCAAUCACUCAAAUUUUAUAUCACAAUUUAAAAUAAAAAAAAUUAAAUUACAAAAACCCUCCCUAUUUUAUUUAUUUAUAUUUGGAAUAUCAUCAUUUUCCCACCAAAGGUAUUCUGACACAUCAUGUCAGUACCACGGUUUGGUAAAACCAUUAAUUUACCACCAAACGUUUAAAUUGUUAGUAUUUUCCCACCAUUCUGUUAAAACUCAGUUAAUAUGUAACAAAAAAUUCAUAAAAGAUCAAUUUUACCCCUAGAGCGUAAAAGACCAUAUAAUUAUCACACGAAUUUAGUGGAUGAGUUUUUUAUUCACAUCCAAAUAAUCUUUAGGAGAAAAUAAAAAAAAAUGGAUUGGGUCCUCUGGUUAGGGCAAAUUAAGAAUUGGAAAUUUUGGAGCGAAAUGCCAUAGGAUUUAAUUUUUUGAGGAGUUAAUGCUUAAUAAAAAAUAUGUUAAUUUUGUGGUAAGAUAUUAAACUUUAAAAAUGAUAGGGACCAAAUAAUAUUUAGUUGAAUAAACCUUUUUUCAAACCUUUUCACACGGAAAAACUAUUUAUUUUUAAAAUUUUUUAAAACUCAGACCAUUACAUUAACAUGAUAAUUAUAUUAUUUUUUAUUAUUUUAAAUUUUACUCUCACAACCAUCAAACAAUUCAAAAUCUUCAAAGAAAAUACCACAUAAUGCUAAGUAAGUGAAUUAACAUUCUCAAAUGAGAGAUCAACUAGAGUCUUAAAUUUAAGUCACUUGUUGGUUAACUAAAAUUUAAUUAAGUACUUAAAUAUAAUUUCUUAAAUGACAUAAUUUUGUAGUUUGAUUAAUAUUUUAAUCUUAAAUCACAUAAAACUCAACUUGUUGAUGAGAUAAAGCAAAAACUCAAUUUUAUAAGCUCAAGGUUAAUUACAUGGUCUUUUACGUUUCAGGAAUAAAAUUGACAUUUUAUAAAUUUUUUAUUACAUAUUAACUGAGUUUUAAUAAAAUAAUAAAAAAAUACUAACAGUUUAAAUUUUUAAUAAUAAAUUAAUAAUUUUACCAAACAAUAAUACUAACGUGUCAAAAUACAUUUAAUAAAAAAAUGAUAAUAUCCCUUUAUAUUUUCAUUCACUCACGUAAUCCCUUACGUUGUGCCACGCCGUCCACACCCUGCAUUGAUGAUAUCCUCAAAACGGUCAUCGGACGUCAUUUGGUCUAUCAAAUCAAAUUGUUAAGACAGUCCAAGGUCGCUGUCGAAAACUCGCCGACACCGCUUCAUAUUUUUUACUUUUUAUUUUAUAAUCUUUUCAUUUGCUUAAACGCUUCUCUAAAUUCUAAUAGCCACAGAUCCCAAAGGCUAUUGAUAUAGCAAUGUUUAAAAUUUAUAAUUUGAAGUCCGCCGAGACUUGCACCGAUCUAAAUAUGUAUUAUUUGAAGUCCAGCUUAAAAAUUUACUUUGUGAGAGAUUAACCCACAUGAAAAAACUCAAAACUCUCAAGCUCUUUAAAAGUAUCAUAAUAUAUUUAGAACUUAGUGUAAACAUAACUUUCUUUCAACUAAAAAAUUUUACUCUCAUAAGAGAUAUACUCUCAAGAGAAAUUAUAAUUCCUGAACACACAUGAGAAAACUGAAAAUCUCGACCUCAAGAAUGAAGUGAGAAAGUGCCAACCACUUAAUCAAUGAGUGAUUGAUAAAAAUAAAAACUAUGUAAAACAUGAGAAAUUAGGGACUUAUCCCGCUACGUUUAUCCCAAUACGUUUUUGGCUGUAUUUUUUGGGUGAUGAUUCAACCAGCUGACAUCGAUUUGAUUAGAAGCACUUUGGUAUAUAUAUAUAUAUAUAUAUAUAUAUAUGGGUUUGCUCUGUAUCUUGUGGUGCCAAUAGAAAAUCACAAAGCAUUUAUUUUUUAUUUAAUUAAUUAAUUAAUUUAUUUGGACUUACUAAUGUCGUGAUAAAGUUUUCGAAAUUCUCAAGAUAUUCCAAUGAACCUGUCUUUUUGAAGUUGUAGGCAAACAAGAAAGAGUCAUUAAUCAUUUACUAUGAAAGGGGCAGAUCGAUUGCAGUUACCAGAAAAAGUCAAUUUAAUUUAAUGUCGUUAAUUGGUUAUUUAAAGAUUUUAAUUAAUUGAUUAGAGAGUUGGACUACAAAUUAAGGAUCAAUUAAUUUGGGUAGGGUUUUUCAACAAGUUUUACAAAAUCUUCUGGAAUUCUAAAAUCAAUAAUUAUAAUUUGAUAGAAAUAAUUUUAAAUUAAAAAAGUUUAUUGUGCAAUCUCAUUCUUAUCAAACAACAUAGACAUAUAUAGCAUAUCAUUAAUAUCAAUAUUAAUACUGACAUGUUAGGGUUUUAUUUAAAAAUACCAUCUUUCAGUUCUCUUUAAGAUGGAAGAAUUCCCCAAAAUCCAAUCAAGAUUCACGGCCCCGGUCAAGACGAAAUUAGAUACAAAAUCUUAUCUCGAUUUACUAUUUAGGUUGGGAUUCAAGACUCAAAUUUGUCCUGGCUUACUAUAUGAAACAUGAUACAGUAAAUCCUAUCGGGAUCCUGAAUGUCCCAAAAUUUGAAUUUUUAGAAAUGUAUGACAAGUUAAUUUAAAGAAUCACAUAAAUCUAACAUGUCAGUCACGUGUAUUACAAGUCAUUUUGAUAAAUAAUAUAUAUCACAUAUGACAUAUCGGUUAUAUGUAUAUGACUAGUUGUUUUGAUAGAUAAUAUAUAUGACAUGUUAGUUAUAGAUAUAUGAUAUGUCGUUUAUCAGAGAAUCUACAGCAUGUGAUAAAAAAUUCAUAUCAUCCAGUGAUAAUUGGAGAUCUCGAUCAAGACUUGGGAUCCCACAUCGAGCUGGGGAUCGAGAGCCUUUUUUGUUCCAAGUCAAUGUUUGGACAAAAUUUGGGACACAUUUUUUGUCUUAAUUGAUAAUCGAGAUAGGAUCAAGAUCGCCAAAUCCCAACUAAGUCCAGUCUCUUUACUAUUAAACCCACUGAUGAGAAAAAUAGGAGUUCAAGAAAAUGGAGAGUACAUUAUUGAGCUUUAGUAAUAUUCGAUAUAUAACUUGUAUCCCAUCUACAUGCACAAUGAUGAAUUUUUUAACUCGUGAAAUUAUUAUUAUAUCAUCAAAUAAAUGAAUAUCACAUCAAUUAGCAUAUAAACAGAGAUCCAAAUAUUGAGAUCCCCUAACAUUAAUCUUUCUUACAAUCUUAUAAACCAAUCAUUAACAUAAAGAUUCUUAAGAGUGGAUGUCCACACAUUUUAAAAUAAAGAUUUAAAAUUAAACAUUCUGUCUAACUCUAAUUUAACGUUGUAUUAUAAAUAAAGCAGUUCAGCCUGAAAUUUAAAAAACGUGCAUACAUCCACUCUGCAGGAGUAAUCGUCAUUAACACUCAAAAUUUUCCCCAACAUCAAUUCAUAUUUGAUUUCUCAACAAAACUUUACAAAUUGUACCAUGUAUAAUAAUAAUAACAACUAAAUAGUUAGCAAUCCUGUGAUCAUCAGUCACCAUGCCCUCAACAAAAACACAGAAAUAUAUAACAUCUUCAACAAUAUCACAAUCCAAUACUGAAACCUCUGAAGAGAAAGAGAUCUUUACUGAAAUCAUUAAUAUUCCCAGAACAUUGACCUUUACCGGGAACUUCAGCAUUCGAUGUUAAUGUCCUUGAAAAGAAAGUAGAACAUAGAUAGUGUUAGAACUGAGAAAAAAAAAAUGAAAGAAAUGAAUUGAAUAACCCGUAAAUGAGAAUAUUUUCAACCAAACUAAUUCGCUACAUGUUAUAUUCCAGGCCUAUGAUUUGUUGCAACACAGGCAAUUAUAGGCAAGGUUACAGAAAACUCGGUAUGGGAUUAAUUACUAUGUAUGCUGCUAGCUUGCGAUUGAAAAUUAGCUGAACAAAGUAUAAAUAGAUUGCCAAUAACCAAAUUUAAUGACAAUUUAUUUUAGGUGCCAACAAGUGCGUAAGCCCACACACAUCAGAACAAAUUCAGCAAAUUUGCAAUUUGCUACUAUAUCUGCUGUAGUUAAUUUGGAUCAUGGCGUGGAUCAAAUAGAUUAACAUCCAUACGCAAACCGCAAGAAAAUUUGAAAAUUUAAGAUUGUAAACUAGGCACAAAAUUACGACAUUAUGAAAAUUUUGGAUUUCGUCUUUGGUUAUGCAAUAAUUAAGUCAUUUCCAACUAGUCAAACCCUACUGGAAGAGUGAAACCAAUUUUAGCAUAAAUGCCUGGAACUACUAAUCGCAUAUAACACAUACCUCAAGAACAUGGUCACAGCGAUAUAAAGGAAAUCCCAGAGCUUGCUGACAUUGCUCAUGCAUGCCUGCGUCUUUUGGUGUUGUCCUCAAUAUAAAACUCCCAUCUGCCAUGAUCAAGGUUGCUCAAGUCAUCCAGAUCUGCAAUUGCUAGCAAGUACUGGGUGAGUUUUACAAGCUCUUGAUCGCUGUCUCGAUUAGCAUGAGCUUUCCUAAAUGGCUUGAUAGCCAAACCAUUUUGUGGGUUCAUCACAAAAUUUCUUCGCAGAUCAUCAAACAUGAUUGUGUUUUUGGAACUGUAGAACUGCAAAUAGAACAAAAACCACCAUCACCGACCACAUGAAAAUGCAAAAUUUCCAAUUUCUAAAAAGCAUCUGAAGCAAAUCUCUUUUGGAUUUCAUAUAGUUAUUCGGUGGCAUUCAUAGGACUAUAGUGGGAUUCACAAAGAUGAAAUUGUUCCAGGUCAACACUACCAUUAACUAUUUUGAAGACAAUUCUUCUCUUACUCCUAUUCUGAAAAUAGUCCACUCUAAACUAAUGAUUUAUGCCACCAUAUGCAACACAAAGGAAACACCAAAAGAACAAGAAAGAAAAAGAUAUAAUUUCAUAUGAUUCAAGCCUCCUCUUUAAUACUAGCAAAGACAGCAGCAAGCAGAGACCAUUCAAAUAUAGUUUUAUUUAUACCUCAGGAAACUGAUCCCAAAUCAAGCCAAGUGGCUUGCAAUCAAAAAUUCCUCGAGAAUCCGAUUGAACUGUGAUCAUAGCUAAAUGAUCUAGAAGCGCAGUGAUUUUGUAGUUUGGAUUUGUUAGCACACCAAGCUCUUCCAUCUUCAACUCAACCCACUUCAUGCUGCAGAAAGGAAGAAUUUAUAAGCUUCUGCAAUAGAUAUUCUUACCCCAACUUCCAAAGACAAAUUUACUCCAUCUCUUUCAAAGUCAUUAUCUUGGAAGAAGUAAAAGGAAAAGGGAUCAGCAGAAAUCUGACCUGGUUGCCGACCAUAUCAUGAUAUCAUACUCUGCAUAGGCAGCAGUGAGAAACUCAUGAAGAUCUGCAGAAUACAAUGACGCCAGAGAUAACUGUUAGUGGAAGAAAAAAAAAAUGAAGGUAAAUACCAGCAAUGAGCAAAGAACUUACAAGGCCUCAUAAGUUGAAGCGGAUUCUCAGCAGUAGACCGGUGAUCAAAUAAUGUGUAAUCAAUAUCCAGAACGAGUAGCUUCUUCCCUUCACGGGAUGGAUUUCGAAGUUUAAUCUACAAUUAGCACAUGUUAGUAGAAACAAGGCCACUAAACAGUGUGACAGAUCAAAUUACAACCAAAUCAAUCCACUCGAAAUAAUCUCCUGUAUGUUCAUGAGUUAAUGUGACAUAAAGAAUAUCAAGCUAUUAAUAUGCUUUCAUUUAGAAAAUUUAGUUACGGAACCUCAAAAAUACGUUGGCAAUGAAAACAUUGAGCAUUACAACAAAAAUUUGAAAUGGGAAUUCUAAUUUAAUCCAUUAGAAACCUCAGUCAUUGCAACCCUUUUCCAAAUACACCAAAUUCAUCCGUACCAGUUACAACACCCUCAACCAAACAUUUUCACCACAUUUUAAAGUAAACAACAAUACAACCGACCUUGUACUGACUGAGACGACGCCUCAGUUUCUGCUUAUUGACCUCUUUAUCCUUGAUGUCAACAGCUUCUUCUUGCCCAAGUUCAAAAUCGUCAAUAAUUUCAGGCGAGUCCACAGGAUCCACAAUUAUCUCAUCUUCAACAGUACUGAAAAAGUUUCAGUUGAAUUCAAUAUCAUCAACUCAAAGAAGUAUAAAUGCCAGCACUCUAGUGAAGUUAAAAGCCAAAUAUUACCUAGCUCAUAUUUAAACUAAUCCUUUUUAUCUCACAAUUAUAAGAGAUAAUCAAAAUGUCAUCAUAAAAUUGGCCUAAAUUUGAGAAGUGGGUAGAAAAUUUAUUUUUUAAAAAAUUAAGAAUAAAACAAGAAAUAAAAUUUGAAUCAAAUAAGGAAAAAAAUACAAAUUUUGAGACGAACCCAAUCAUGGUCAUUUUGAGGGAGGACUUGAGGGGGAGUUGAGAGAGCAAAACGGUGUCGUCAGCGAGUUUGUUGCCGAUUUUAGGGUAAAGGAGCUUCUGACGUUUGGGCAAAACGUUGGUGAGCUCGCAGAUUCGGCGCUUCAGCUCGGCAACUGAGUCGUCGCCGCAGACUCGGACUGUGUACUCUUUGCCGCUCCAUUUGACUGUCAGUGUCAGCUCUUCUGACGAACUUGCAGUUGAAGAAGACGAAGAAGAUGCCAUGUGUGUUACUGUUCAAAUGAAACCAAAAGGUUCUUGCUCGUACAUUACACGCUUUGUUUUCAAAUAUUUAUAAUUUGCAUCUAAUGGAACUUGUAACGAACCAAAAUGUCGCGGCCCAUGACCUUCCACUUAUUUUCCGUACUAUUAUUAUUUUUUUUGGCUCCGUUUAAUAUAAGUUUUUAAGUAGAAUUUUUACUAAAAAAAAAGUUUAGUUAUUUGGUUAUUAAUAAAAAUUUAUGAAAUUAUUUUGAUAGGUAAAAUUUUUAAAAUUAUAUUAUAAAAAGAAUAAAUAAAAUUAUCAAAUAAGUAGAUGAUAUUUUAGAUAUUUUUAUAUUUAAAAAAAAAAGAUAUUCGGCCUCUACUUCCAAAAAUCCACAAUUUGAGCUUUAGGUAGUUGAGAUAAAACAACUUAUUUAAGUUUCAAAAGCUCUAUUAAAAAAAUAAUUAAAUAAUAAUAAAAAUUAUGAUAAGUGUUUAUAAAAUUAAAUAAGUAUUUAUAACUAUUAAAUCAACCCUACCAUAUAGAGACCGAGUAAUCUUACUUUUGAGUUAUUAUAAUUUACAUCUAAUAUGACUUGAUAAUUGCCUUUACAUACAUAGAAUCGGAAAAUAGUGCGCAAUUGCAGGCGUGAUGAGUUUCAAUUGGGGUUUGCUGCUGUACCGUACAUCCGCCUUGGCCGUACAGCAGAAGCUAUUCAAAGAUACCAUAUUCAAGCUGUUGGCAGGAUGCAACAAAUAUAAUACUACAUUUUUACAGAGUUGAUCAUUUUCCAUCAGAAAUGAAGUGGCAUUUCAUCGAUUGGACGGUAAAUUUGAGUAAUAAGUAAUUUCACAUGUUAUGAAACUUAUAAAUUCCGCUUCAACACAUAUAAUGAAAAUGUUGGGAAACUAUAAUGCAUAUAUGUGUACAUGAACAACUCUUAGAUGCAACAUCAAAUGUGAUAAAAUAUUUUGAUGGACACCAAUGAACUUUCAAUUGAGAUGACAAAAUUUGAUCCUAAUAAAAAUUUUCUAGAAUUAAAAAAAGAAGAAGAAGUUCACUGCUGUACGGCCAAGGCGGAUGUACGGUACAGCAGUUUGUAUGUUUGGUGGGCUUUCUCAUCCAUUUGAAUUCCCCCCUUCCCCCCUUAUAGAAUUUACAUGCUGAAAGUCUCUUAACAUCCUCGUUCAUGUGAUGUUAUCUUGUUAUUCCUUGUGUUUUAACACUAGUCUAUUUGUCGUUGUAACUGAAUUUCAAUGACAUGCUUAUUUGUAAAGUAUGCGAACGUUUGGUGUUGCCUUUUGUUUUUCUUUCUUUACCAUAUUCAUUAUUAGCAUAAUUGUCGUUCUCCUGUGUGCCUUCGUAAUUUUUAAUUGGGAUGUUACACGCAAAGUUUGUCGACCUUAACUAUGUACAGGGAUUCCAUACUUCCAAGAAGUAAUUGUUAUGGCAUCCACGUGUGAUGCUUGUGGCUACCGCAAUUCUGAGGUUUGUAACUACUUGCUUCUACUUCCCUCUUGCAUUUUUUAUGUUGCAAUAGUCAUUGUACUUUUUGUGUAGUUAAAACCUGGCGGAAGAAUUCCGGAAAAAGGAAAGAGAAUCACUUUGUUUGUGAAGAACAUUAAUGACUUGAGCCGUGAUUUAAUUAAGGUAUGUAAUGGUGCGAUACAGUUAAUCUCGAUUGCAGUUUAAGUUAUUUAUCUGGUUUCGGUUUGCAUUAGGUGAUUUUUAUAUUUAGAAUUCUGUUAUUCUUCUUUUAAUUGUAAGCGUAGCAUUUUGUAUUCAAAGUAUCCUUGGUUAGGAACAUUUAAGUUCCGUACUUCUUUAGUACUGCUGUACGGCCAAGGCGGAUGUACGGUACAGCAGAGUUGUCGAAUCAGAGGCCAUAAAAUCUGAGGAAGAAAGUGGGAAGAAAGCGGAAAAGGUUAUUCAUGCACUGCUUGUCUCACUCUUUGGAGAUGUGCAAUUAGGAGAAAACGGAAAGCUGGUGAUAAAUGUUGAUGGGAAUGUGGCACAUCUUGAUAAACAAAGCGGAGAUGUAGAGAGCGAAAAUGAAGGCCUCAAGGAAAAAGUUAAAGCAGCAUUUAAGCGAAUUCAAAGUGCAGUAAAGCCUAUCCCACUCUCUGCAUCUUAGAUUCUGUUCUCAUCUAAUGUCUUUUCCCAUCUUUUUAACAUGUUUCUGGAUUUUGAGGAAACUUCAGAACCGAAGCCCGUGCUGCAGAUUUGAUUUUUGAGCAACGUAGAUAGAUUGUUCCGAACACUUGAAUCUUCAGCCUGUACAGCUUAGCCUCAAAUUUAAUCAUGAAUACAGCCGCUGUUCUCCCAUAAGAUACUUUUGUUUAACAAAUUUUCUUAAAAGGUUUUCUUAUGAAUGUGUGAAUACUGUUUGUUUGAUAUGUUUCAUGAUAUCUCUUCAAUUCUGUCAUUUUCUUGCUUUUACUUGUAUAUUCUGGCAGAAUAUAUUGGCCUAAGAUACAUAUUUCCAAAAUUUUAUUUUAUCAUAUUGGAAUACGUUAAUGGGGUGUUAUCACAUCAAUCCUACACAGGCGAAUGGAAUCUUAUCCCUCAGUUUCACUCUACAAUUGUAAAUGGGGUUCUUUUCAUAUCCGGAGCAUUGAGCAUUUGAUACUUGAAAAUGACUAGAUCUUUUAGUGGGAACAACAUCUUGGGUCCAUUUCGUGACCUAAUUGUUCAUUUGAUAAAUAACAUUAUGUUAUCUUUAAAUUAACAAGCUUAUUAUAUUGUAAAUUAUUUUUUAAUCAAGUGGCGGCAGUUUUUCGUCUUAUUUUUACCGUCAAUAUUUUUUGUCAUUUCGUGUUUAUUGCAUAAGUUCAUCUCCUUCCAUAUGUUUAAAAGUAGAUUCAGCCUAUACCAUCAUAUAAUUGAUUUAAGAGGUUUUGAUUUUUAGUUCAAAAUUUUAACAAUAUUUUUCAUCCAUUUCUAUUCUAAUCUAAUGAUAACCGCUAUUUAAAAUAAAUUAGAUUGAUCAAAAAUUAUUAUUUUAAUAUUUUAAGGGAUAUUAUUAUUUUCCCACCAAAGGUAUGCUGACACAUCAUGUCAGUACUACGGUUUGGUAAAACUAUCAAUUUACCACCAAAUGUUUAAACUGUUAGUAUUUUCCUACUAUUCCGUUAAAACUCAGUUAAUAUGUAACGGAAAAUUCAUAAAAGGUCAAUUUUACCCCUGGAGCAUAAAAGACCAUAUAAUUAUCACACGAAUUUAGUGGAUGAGUUUUUUAUUCACAUCCAAAUAAUCUUUAGGAAAAAAUUAAAAAAAAAAUGGAUUGGGUCCUCUAGUUAGAGCAAAUUAAGAAUUGGAAAUUUUGGAGCGAAAUGCCAUAGGAUUUAAUUUUUUGACGGGUUAAUGCUUAAUAAAAAGUAUGUUAAUUUUGAGGUAAGAUAUUAAACUUUUAAAAUGAUAGGGACCAAAUAAUAUUUAGUUGAAUAAACCUUUUUUUGAGUCUUUUCACACGGAAAAAAAUAUUUAUUUUAAAUUUUUUUUAAAACUCAGACUAUUACAUUAACACGAUAAUUAAAUUAGUUUUUAUUAUUUCAAAUUUUACUCUCACAACCAUCAAACAAUUCAAAAUCUUCAAAGAAAAUACCACAUAAUGCUAAGUAAGUGAAUUAACAUUCUCAAAUGAGAGAUCAACUAGAGUCUUAAAUUUAAGUCACUUGUUGGUUAACUAAAAUUUAAUUAAGUACUUAAAUAUAAUUUCUUAAAUGACAUAAUUUUGUAGUUUGAUUAAUAUUUUAAUCUUAAAUCACAUAAAACUCAACUUGUUGAUGAGAUAAAGCAAAAACUCAAUUUUAUAAGCUCAAGGUUAAUUACAUGGUCUUUUACGUUUCAGGAAUAAAAUUGACAUUUUAUAAAUUUUUUAUUACAUAUUAACUGAGUUUUAAUAAAAUAAUAAAAAAAUACUAACAGUUUAAAUUUUUAAUAAUAAAUUAAUAAUUUUACCAAACAAUAAUACUAACGUGUCAAAAUACAUUUAAUAAAAAAAUGAUAAUAUCCCUUUAUAUUUUCAUUCACUCACGUAAUCCCUUACGUUGUGCCACGCCGUCCACACCCUGCAUUGAUGAUAUCCUCAAAACGGUCAUCGGACGUCAUUUGGUCUAUCAAAUCAAAUUGUUAAGACAGUCCAAGGUCGCUGUCGAAAACUCGCCGACACCGCUUCAUAUUUUUUACUUUUUAUUUUAUAAUCUUUUCAUUUGCUUAAACGCUUCUCUAAAUUCUAAUAGCCACAGAUCCCAAAGGCCUUCGAAAUGGCGGCCUCUCAUACUUCGUCUUCUUCCACUCAUCAUCAAAUUCUUCAAACCAAAUACGACGUCUUUUUGAGUUUCAGAGGCGAAGAUACUCGCAACAAUUUCACCGACCACCUCCACGCCGCUUUAAUUCGCAACGGAUUCGUCGCAUUUAAGGACGACGAAACACUGGACAGAGGAAACGAGAUUUCAUCAGAGCUCUCGAAAGCAAUUGAAGAAUCCAAUGUUUCGAUUGUAAUCUUAUCGAAAAACUACGCUUCUUCC
rnacentral:lncRNA from 1 species